GGGGCCAGGGGGGUCUCCUUAUAUAGUCCUCCCCUUCUAUGCAUUUUUGGGUCGAUAGGCGAGGUGGUACUAUGUUUUCCUUGAUCUAAUAGGUCAGUGGAACAUCCCGAGCGAAGAGAGUCCUGAUCUGGUUCCAACAGGGGGCGGGCGCCCAGGUCACCAGGGCGGCGCCCUAGGCCUGGCCCCGUUUCGCCUCCGCUUCGGUCUCGUGGCUUCUGGAGUCUUCUAGAUGGUAGAAAAUUGCGCGGUGCGUUGAUAUCUCUAUGUAAUCCUGACAUGUGGCCCUUUCUUCCUUAUUUCCUGAUAACCCCCUGCAGAAAUAGACAAACACCAAAACUCGUGGAAUUCUGUCAGAUAAAACCCUAAGUCUAGAUGUUGAUUUCAUUUGGAUCCUUUUCUUUGUUUAUUUGAUAAUUAAAUUUGAUACUUAAGGACCGUCAACAAGCUCCCCCAAGCUUACCUCUUGCUCGUCCCGGAGCAAGGAUAGACUCAGCAAUGGAUUAGAAGUUGUUGCAAUAUCUUUUAAAAAUUGAUGGUACACAUGCUUUUUAAAUAAGAUCUCAUCUCUGAGUUAGAGUAAACUGUCAAGACUUAAAACUUACUUUACCUUUACCAUGGGACUUGUAACUGUCACUUCUGUCUUGAGAGGUUAAAAGAUAGAACAGUCUAGCCAAGUGCCAUGUCUCUUAUUCUUGAUCAGCUAUAGCUCUGGGUUUUUUGCAGAUUUUCAAAUAAAACUCAGAGAUUCCUUGUAUGACUCUCUAAAUCUCUCUUUUGUGGUAUUUCUGGAUCCUUACCAAGGCAGUGAUGGUAUAUGACUUCUCUCAAGAUAUGUGGUAUUUGUGGUAUAAGGCAUAGUGACAUUGCCUUCUCUCUCACCCUACUCUAAUAAGGCUUUAAUAUCUGGAGCUCAUACGUGGGAGAUAAAGUAUACACACUUACAAGACAUUUACUGUAUAGUCAAACUAUGGAUCCAAAGAAACAAAUCAAUAAGCCAAAUCAAGAUGUGCAUGUGUGGCGAAUGAAUGGUGUAUGGUGAUGAUGGUGAUAACAAUGGUGAAAGUCUAAUUCUACUUUUGCUAUUUUGAGGGGAUACAUACCUUCCUUGCUUUUUGAAACUUUAUGAGGAGAAUGAGAUGCUCUUCUUUUUCUUUCCUCUCAGGUGGGUAUCUUGUACCCCUAAUUCUACUGUCGGACACUUGUCCAUCUUUACCUCUCGUCUUACUUUUUCUUUCUUUCGAGGUUCUGGGCACUUGCCCCUUUUUAUUUCCUCAUUUAUAUAUUUUAUUUCUUUUUUUUUCUCUUUUUUUUUCAGAGCACUCAUCUCUUGAGAUAAUAUAGCAAGUGGUAGUAACCGAAAUAUUUGGAGCAUUUAUUUCACAGGGAAUAACAGGGAUAGGAAAAUGUUUUUGACUAUUCUCUCCCGGAUUAGGAGUAGAAUAUUUUUGGGUGAUUCUGGAGAUGGAAAUUGAUGGAUAUAUGUGGAUGGUACUUCCGGAGUAGAAGUAGCAUAUAUGAGUGAACGUGCAAGUGAAUCUUGAUUUAACCACAUGACAAGCUCCUAAGGGUCUACACAGCUUGACCACACUCAAUGCUCAUAAGCAGUAAAAAGUAAAUGUAUCGUUCAUAGUCUAAUAAGCAUGUACAUAUGGCUGUGGUAGGAUUUUAAACUCUCAUCAUACAGAAACUCAUCAUGCAACAUUUCAAAGAUUUUCAAAGAUAAAAUUCUCCAGAAUUCUAGCAUCUCUAGGAACAGAUAAACAGCAGCUCAACCUUCCCAUAUCGUAUCCGUUAACAACUUAGACUUCAGAUCAAGUUUUCAUCCCACAAGUUUAGGUCUAGAGCAAGAUUUAAAUUAUAACAGUUAUGUCUAAACUUGAGAGAGAACUUCAAAAUUGCAAAUUAGGCAGAGCAACUAUUCAUCAUAUCCAUGCUAGAGUUUUAUUAUUAAGAUUCAGAUUAGCAUAGCCACUUUAUUUAUUUAUUAAACAUACAAAGCAAAAGAUAUAUAUAAGCACAAAAUCUUUAUUUGGUUUUUCAUAGUUGAUGUAUUUUAAUAUUAUAACAUAAUAUAAGUAUAAAGAUAGGUAGAAAUACUUAGCGAGAAUAAUGGGGGUGCUUUCCCCCAAGCUGAAUUUUGACGUAAUUUCUCUUGAUGUAGCUAGCAGGUGGCAGAAGUGUAUUUGAAAGUCAGCAGCAUUCUGACAACGAUUAGAAUGUCCUCCAUCUGCUAGUUUUCUUGAUUCUUAAAUUUUGUGGAGCUCAAAUAGACAACAAAGCUUGUGGAACUAAUUAAGUGUUAGCAUAAAUAUCUAGCCUUCAUCAUGUUGAGCUUUCUUAAUAAAUAUUAUUUAUUUAGCAGGAUCAUACACUUAUUAUUAUAUAUAUAUAUAUUUAUAUUUUUUUGUAAGAUGAAAACUUAUUUAUUUUAUUUUUUAUGCCACCACAGUGAAUGUACUUAUGGGUUUUAUGCCAUGAGCAUACUCACAUGGGGUUUACUAUUUUUUAACAUUUUUAUUUUCUUUUCAAUAUAGCAUGAACCUGAUUAACUAAGCAAAUUAUAAUUGAAUAAUUGAAAGGAAAGGGUAACUACCAAGUUUACCUCUUGGCAAGGCGUUCGGUAUUUUUAUGUCCUCCUGAACGGGACUCUCUGUUUUCUCAGUCGUCCUGGGAUUCGCUAGGUGGCGUAGUCGGUGAUUCCGGCGGCGCCUCUCUUCUUGUAUAACUAUCUUCUCCCUCCACACCUGACUCGGUGCUACGGUCUCCUCAGGACAGUUCUGUUCAAGCUGUAUGUCUUCAGUCCUCAUCACUUCUCAUUCGUAGUCUACCCAUCCGUUCUUGAUGAUUUGUCUCCUCUCGUUGCGGUUGCGUCGUCUUCUUGCUCUGACCUGCUUAGAGUCUUCAACUAUAUAGUUAUGGUCAGUAAAAUAGUUGCGUACCUUCUCAGAGGGGAAGUACAUGUGGACUUCUCCGGUUCCAAUGUAGAUGAUUGCUUUGAUAGUGUUGAGGAACGGUCUUCCAAGGAUGGUGGGUGGAUCAUAUUCGUCUUCUCCCAUGUCAAUGACCUGAAAAUCAUCUGGAGCUGAAUAUAUUGGUUGUAGGGGCAUGGUUCCAUGCAGGAGCUGAUAAGUGACUGCGGCCAUUAUGUUGUCGUCAGAUCCGGUGUCGUAGAGUGUCUUCUAAAAAGAGUAUCCAUUGAUUGCGCACUCGAUGCUUGGAACACCAGGGUCGUCCUUCUUGAUCAAGAAAGGUGACUUGGGUCGACGAUGUUGACCUCUUCCGACAAGGAUCCAAUGUUUUAAGUCUUCUGGAUAAGACUUUCCACCAUCUUCAUCCUUUAGGUGCAUCAUUUGAUUAGGUGUGGACCUUGACGUCUGCAUCUCUUGAUACGGUGUCACCCAUGUUCUUCUUUGCCCAACAGUUCGAAGUAUGGUGUUGGCAAUAUCCUGCUCAGUGUGUUUUUUUUUUCUUGAAGUGUACCUGUUCAUAGAGACAAGGCAGAGAUCAAGUGCAUGGGCUCUGUUGGUGGAAAACACCAACAGAACCAAAAGUGUAUUUGUUUUUCUCUAACCUUAAGCAUAGUGAGCAAGACAAAGUUGAUGGAUAAUAAGAUCAUGAGUGUAGUAUUUGAAACAUUUGUCAGAUCAGAUGGCUCAACCUAAUGGAAAGAUAAUCUAUCUAUAUUUAUGUUUUGUUUAUAUCUUUCAAAUAUUGAAUGUGCAACAUAUUAGCUUAUAUGUUUAGGAGCGUGGGAUCACGAAGGUAGUACUAAGAACAAAGAUUAAAGGACUAAACAUGUUGAAUUAAUUGAGUUGGUUAUCUGGAGUUAUAAAUCAUACAUGUUUGUCUCUUCAUUUAUGUGAAUGCUAGAACCAAGGAGAAGCUUAUAAAAGUGAUAGUCAAGUACCUUAAGGUGUUACCUUACUUGAAGAGUGACGGUACAGUAUCACCUUGUGGAAGCUUUCCUUUCUUAGUGGUUGUGCAUCGUGUUUGUGGCACCCUCCAUGAAUCAUCUCUUAUGAGCCACGUCUUUCUUGUGCAAAUUGUUAAACUUCAUGUGUCACUUUCUUCAUCUCCAAUGCGAGUUUAUCUCAGGACAUCCUAGGUUGAUAUUGAAAGUUUUCCUGCAGGGGUUAGUCCAACAAAAUAUCCCAUAUCUACUAUAGCAUACUAUCGGCUUAAAAUCAACCUAGACACCAUGUCUAAUUUGAUUUAGAAGGGCAUUUUAACCUAAGCACCAUGCUUAAUUUAAAAUCCCUUGGAAGUAAGAUCAUCAUUCCUAAACUAAGCACCAUGCUUAAUUAAGAGAUAAAUGAAACUAUUCCAAACCUAGACAUAUACUAAAGCAAAUAAAGGUAGCAUGAGAGCAUUUAUAGAGAUCUACUUAAGUGGAGAUAAAGUAGUGUAAUUAGUAUUUAACAAAUUGAGCAUGUCUCAAAGGUAAGGACAACCAACGUAGCAACAUGGCAAAAGAUGUUUUUAUGUAAAGUACUCCCCCAAGCUUGAAUUUUACAAAAUUCAAGUUUGGAUGAAUUUAAUUCAAUGUUGUGUGAUGGUUGGUUGGACAUACCUUGUGCUUGUCAUUCAUCCGAUCUUCUUGCUCCAAUCCUGGAAAGGUUAGUGACAAGAAUACCCGAAGGAAUAUUUCUACAAUUAUCUUGAUAUGCUCAAUACACAAGGCAAUGUUGCAAAUAAUUAGAAGUUCAUGUUAUGAUAUGAAAAGUGCUUGUUUUAGGACACUAAGCUUGUCUUUGGGAAACCAUCAAGUUAUGUUGGUGAAGUGAUUUCCCCUCCAACACCUACCUAUAUCAAGAUCAACUCAACGAGAUCUGCAAUAUUUAUUAUAGACAUAUGCAUCGACAACCGCCCUUUUAAAGUUUUUAUAAAUGAAGAGGAAGAGAGGGUUGGAGAUCUCAAAUGUGGUAAGGAUGGAGAGACAAAUUGAUUGGAGAGAUGUUUUAUAUGAGCAAGGACUGGGUGAGGUAUUUAUGAAAUAACUUCCAUGCUCACUGUUGUUUCUCUUAUUCUUAAACUCCAAGGAUGAUUCUUCAUGAAUGCUUAAAAUUCCUCUAGGAUUGUCUCUCAAGUUUAUUUUAUCUAUCCACUCAAUGGUGAUAGCACAUGGAUUUUUAAUGCCCUCUAGCCAUUGAUGUUGCUCUUCUCGAUUCUCCUUCUUAUGCAUGGGAUGUCUAGAGAGAUUCAUAGGAUUAUCGGGAGGUUCAAGAGAAAAAGCAUAGUAGAAAAAGCAUAGUAGAAAAAGCAUAGUAGAGACUCAAAGUUAUCUCAGCAAACCGUCUUUCUCCCCGGCAACGGCGCCAGAAAUGCUAGUUGAUAUUUGGUAACGCAAUAAGGAAACGAUCCGCAAGCGCAGGGAUAUCGGUGAGCAUUUCACCCGGGAGGUUAUCCAGAGUUAUCGUAUUUAUAUUUUUACCACUGGGAGAAAGGGUGCAUCUGACUAACCAAAUCUAUUGCUACUAUCCCUUUAGGCUACAAAGAAUGUCUUUCGAUAUGAGUGAUAAAUAGAGAAGACUGCAACCGUAGUCUCCUUCUAACCUUGGUAAGGAUAAUCUACUGUUCUAAUGGGGAGGCUAACGGAAUCUAGACACCACAAAGGAUGUUCAACCCGCACCUAUAAACCCUAUCCUUCCUGCUAACGAGAUGUGAUCUGCAAAGGAAACUCGGAAUUGUCACGUUCCUCACUACUACCACGGUCCAGCUAGUCAGGGAAUAUCUAUGAGUACCCCAGCCUAAACACCACGUUUACGCCAGCAAUGAUUACUCUAAACUCUACGCGAAGAGAUUAAAGUAAACUCAUAAACCAUAAGAACAAUAAAACAAGAACUUACUAGAAUUUAGAAGUCGAAAUACUGAAGAAUCCUAGGAGCAAGCUUCGGGAUAGGAGAACUUGAUCCCGCAGGUACAAGCUUGGAGUAGACACCGACAGGCCGGGCUUCCUCCAAUCUACACCUCCACUCUAUCUCUCUCAAUCUAGUAGAAACUAGAAGAUCUAUUUCUACCUUACAUUGGUUGCUAAGCCUAAAAAGAAAUAUUAAUUAGAGAAGAGGUUUUCCUUCGAGGGCACCCCUCAAUCUCUAUGAUAAUUUCUUCAUGUCUUCUCCAGGGGCCAGGGGGGUCUCCUUAUAUAGUCCUCCACUUCUAUGCGUUUUUGGGUCGAUAGGCGAGGUGGUACUAUGUUUUCCUUGAUCCAAUAGGUCGGUGGAACAUCCCGAGCGAAGAGAGUCCAGGUCACCAGGGCGGGCGCCCAGGUCACCAGGGCGGGCGCCCUGGGCCUGGCCCCGUUUCGCCUCCGCUUCGGUCUCGUGGCUUCUGGAGUCUUCUAGAUGGUAGGAAAUUGCGCGGUGCGUUGAUAUCUCUAUGUAAUCCCGACAUGUGGGCCUUUCUUCCUUAUUUCCUGAUAACCCCCUGCAGAAAUAGACAAACACCAAAACUCGUGGAAUUCUGUCAGAUAAAACCCUAAGUCUAGAUGUUGAUUUCAUUUCGAUCCUUUUCUUUGUUUAUUUGAUAAUUAAAUUUGAUACUUAAGGACCGUCAACAGCGUUGAUAUGACACCCUUGCUGCAUAAUGACUACCUUGUCCAUCUCAUAUCUCACCUAAGUAGGUCCAGGAUCGAAAUAACGCUUAGCCAUGCUUAGCUCGGUAGAAGCCGGGUGAUUUCCUGUCACCUGCGAGAGUUAGGUGGAUGAUGAUCACGGUUGGCUAUAUUUGCUAUCGUGAAAAUAAACAUGAGCUAAUAAUGAACUUAAGACCGGGCGGGAUGACGAUAGUGCAGCAACAAGGCAUGGAGGUCUUGGGUGUGAAUCUAUCCCAGUCUGUGUCGUUUAAGGACCGAAUCGCUGUACGUCCCUGUGUCAUGUUGAACGCAUGCCUAUCUCUUAGUUGGCCGGAUAAGUCGUUCCGACCGUGAAGCCUACGAGUGCAUCUCCAGCCGGAUACCCCGUUCGGUUUAAGUGCGCACCCCGGUUGGUAGCAAGGAUGUGCGGGGAGUCAAUGGCGUAAGACCGAGGUGUCAGGUUAGAGCCCUGACCCUGGCAGAUUGGCGGUCCCUGGGGGUGCGGCGCUGUACGAACCCGCGAAUUGGUCCGGAGUUGUGCUAAAGGUGAUCCGAGCUGCCGUCAUGAAGUAUGCUUGGGUGAGUGUUAGGAAUACCCCUUCAGCUGGAUAGGAAUCGAUUCGAAUCGCCGUCUCUCCCAGAUAGUGAGAACUUGACUUGGGCAGCGGCAACGUAGAAUUCACUAAGUAAACAUAAUGGUUAUGAUGAGAAUGUUGAUAGCAAAGUGAUAAUCCGGAUAUGGUUAUUAUUGUGAUGCUUAAAUAUUCAAGUGUAUGCUUAGAACAGGUGCUAAUCUAGUGGAUAGUUGUUAAGUAAUAAACCUACUGCUGAAAUAUUAUUAAAUGGGUCACUUACAACAAAGGCUUUUUAUGCAAAAGGUGAGUCAAACCUGUCCACCAAGAUCAGCCUUGCAUACUCCUUGGUGUCACUUUAUUUCUAGUUUAUGACGGGUAAGUCUAGCUGAGUACCUUCUCGUACUCAGGAUUUUAUUUACCCCUGUUGCAGAUGAUGUCGUUUAUCAUGGCUACUGUGCUAACUGCCAUCAUCCGGCUGCGGACGAUGAAUAGAUCAUGGGCGUGAUCACCUUCUAUAUCUUCGGUUGUGCUUUUGUUGGGUUUGACCAUGGAACUGGCUUGUAAUAUAAACUGAGUGUGUGAUGUUCAAAACUACUUUGUUUCCGCUACUACUCUGGUUUGUAAUAACCACUUUUAAUCUCUGAUGUGAUGUAAAACUAUGUUCAGUGAUGAAUGUAUGUAAUCUGUGAUGGUGAUGCUUGAUCAUGUACGAUCUUGGUUGUAUGUUGGUUGAAUCGAGGUCUUUUGAAAUUUCGUCGGACUACGGGGUUUAUAUGGGUUCAAGUCCAUUGGCUUGACUGCCUCUGUGGUCGCUAAUUCACUUGAAUUCUUAUAAAUUGGACGGUUCUGUUACAGCUGGCAUCAGAGCAAGAUUAAGCAUUUAACCAUCAUAGAUGUAUUUAAAAACAAAUGAAUUUGGUUUCCACAAGCUAAUUUGGCAAAUUAGACUAUACAUAGGGCUGUUUAAAAAUUUCUUAAUAACUUAUACCAUGCCAGUGGUCAUACCCUUUAUGCCCAUAUAAGGACUUCUAGGUGGCUUAAUAUUACUAACAUGGGGGUUUUUCCUUUCGUCGUCCAUAUGGCGUAUAAUUAUAUGGAUACCGCUUACUUAAGUGGUAAUGAAUGGAUCACAUACCUCUAUGCCAUGGUAAGCUUUGUUUGUUUUCUUUCGUCAUCCAAACGGCGUGAAAUUGUAUGGAUGCCACUUGCUUGAGUGGUAACGUAUGGAUCUAUAUGCCUCUACGCUACGGUAAGUGUGAGCUGUGAGAGCAUGACCGUCCAACCGUCGGUCUAGGGGAGUGUUAGUUGUGGUUACUGGAAUAUUUACAUGUUUUACACAUGUAUAUAUGAAAGUACUUAAUUAUGGGUAGUAGGUGCAGCCAUGUAUACAUAUUUGAUGUAUAUGUGGGUGUAUCCAAAAUGGGUAGUGUGCUGCGAUAUAUAUUCAGGAAUAUAUAUCGGAGUACCUAGCUUGAUUGUUGAUGAUUGGAUUUACAUUUCUGCACAUAUACUAUUGUGGGGUUGGGCUGCAAUGAAAUUUUCUGCAGGUACACUAACAAUGAAACGUGUAGACUGUGCAGUUGCGUAUAAGGAGUGCAUGUAUGUAUGCCACCGACUAAACUGUUAGAACCUUCUUCUAGGAAUGGAAAGGACGUAUGGAACGUGCAUGCAUCAUGAAUCAUUCAUACAUUCCUUAUGCACUACUUAAGUAUUAAAUUCUAAAAUAUAUCUAUUUACCUUUCCUUGUAAUUAAUCUCCCUUACUCAAAUGUGGUCUUUCUACAGAUGGCAACCCCACACGCAAGUGAGACUUUCCUAGACAUGUUUGGCACUCCUACUUUGUUGUGGAGGGUGCUAAGCUCAGUUGGAUAUGAGGAACCACCAAAGUACACUUGGACCGAGUCUGAGCCUUACCUUGGGUGAUGUCUAAAUUACAGUUCCCCCUUGUCCAAAUAACCCACAGUGGCUAGGUUGGAUAGUAGACUGCGAUGGCCAAACUCCUUGGGAGGGUGCCCAAGUAGCAGCCUUAGAAGUAUUGCUGGAUAUAUGCUAAGAUUAUGGUGAUGAGCUAGUGAAUGGACCAGCUCGAUCCAUCCCUAGAGUGAGUGUGACUGACACAUUUGUGUCUCAGAUAGGAAAUGAGCCUUUAGAGAUGAGAGAAACCAUGCUAGGAUACAGCUCUAGCCCUGCCAUGAGUGCCAUGCUUGUGGUACUUAAGCUGUACUAUGUACGCCAGGACACCUACAUAGAUGCCAUGCUAGCACUCCAACAAGCUCAAGUUGGGCAGCGCAAACUGCGCAAGCGUGUGCGCAAGCACCGCAAGGCUUUUAGGGAUGCACAAGCUGAAAUCCAAAACUAUCACACCGCUUUGCAAGCCGGCCGCAACCAAGUUGAAAACGCAGUUAGGGAGCAAUGAGGCACAAGCCCGCAUGAUGCAAAUGACUAGAGAGAGAGAUGAGGCUAUGCGUUUGGCAGAGAAUAGAGAAGCUGCUAGAGUUAGAGCUUUGUUCCAUGCUGAAAUUAGAGAUGAAGAACUGAUCACUAGGAUUGCUGAGCUGCAGUUAGAUGUCCAUCGCCUAAAUAAUAUCAUAAAUCCUAUCCCACAUCCUGUCCCCUUUAAUCAUGAAGAAGCUCCAAGUGAGGAAGAUCAGGAUGAUGGCAUAAUUUCUAAUGGUGAAUCUUAGGAAGAUAUGUAGCCUAGUAGUGAUUCCAUGUUCAUGUAUCAGUUUCCAUCUCUUUAUGUAAUAAACUUCUAAUCUGUAAUUGGCCAUGGUGCCCUUUCUAUAGGACUUAAGUUGUGGCAAUGACUCUAUGUAACCCUAUACACUCAAUUGUGAUGCUCCAUAUUUAUGUUAAGCUUAAAUAAUUUCUCCCUGCAAUGACUUAAUCGUUGUGAAUUGUGGCUGUGAAUGAUCGCGAGAAUAACCAAGUGUCGUGGAUGAUAUUCUCUUGUUGUACAUGGAUUAUUGUGCCUUAAAUUAUGUGAAUUUAUUUCAUUAAAUUCCGUAUAGCAGCGAUUGAGGUUCAUGGCAAUUAUAUCUGUUGUCCUAAACGGUCACUUGGUAUGCCUUUUGCAGAUGGCUCGCAAUACUCGCUCCGGUCACAAUGAGUUGCCGCCACCACCACCUCCUCCCCUACCUACGCCUACUGAGCUCUUGGCAGCUCUUGUUGAGGGCCAGCGAAUGCUCAAUGAAGCUAUGCAGACCAUGGCGCAGCAAAACCGGGGUGGUCACCAUGUCCGUCAAGGUGGAGAGGCAAAUCAACACAGUAGUUUCAAAGAUUUCCAGGACACAAAGCCGCCACUUUUUAAGGAGGCUGUUGAACCUCUAGAAGCUGAUGAGUGGCUGAACACUCUCGAGCAGAAGUUCUGCUUGCUGAGGGUGACGGAGGAGCUAAAGGCGGAAUAUGCAGCCCACCAGUUGGAGGGCAAAGCAGGUGUCUGGUGGAGUCAUUAUAGGACCAGCUUGCCUGUUGUGACCAGGGAUCAGUUCAAAACUGCUUUCAGGAACACCUAUAUUCCACAAGGCUUGAUGACUAUCAAGCACACUGAGUUCAUGAACUUGACACAGGGCACUAAAAGCUUGAUUGAGUAUCUUCAUGCUUUUAAUAAUUUGUCUCGCUAUGCUCCCGAAAUGGUUGACACCGAAGCCAAGAAGCUUGCUAGUUUCAAGAAGGGUUGGGACCCAAGUUGUCCAAGAACAUGGCUGGUAACAAGAGUACCACCUUUAAUGAGUUUGUGAGUGAUGCAUUGACUCAAGAGAACUCCAAUGCCGUGUAUGCCGCGUCCAAGAACCGCAAGAGGGCCUAUGAGGCAGGUGCUUCACAGUCCAAGGCUCCAGCGACGAAUAAGCCGGCCUAUCGCCCACCAAAUGCUGUGACAAGGUAUAGGCCGCCGCAGAAGAUGUCAAAUGUGAAGACGGGAGUUCGCAAGUCCUUCACAGUUGCUCUUCCAAGAGGUGUCACAGGCCAAGGAGGUCCCAAGACUCCCCCUGAUAACCGUCCCUGCUUUAACUGCAAACAAGUUGGUCAUUGGGUGAGAGAUUGCCCUUAUCCCAAGAGGAAUUCUGCAGCUGGAGGUAACAACCGUACUGGCCGAGUGCACUAUAGCACUGUUGAAGAAAUCCCUGAAGGUGAAGAGGUCACCGCUGGUAUGUUUCUUGUUAAUCAACACCCUGUAGUUGUCUUGUUUGAUUCUGGGGCUUCGCAUUCAUUUAUGAGUCAAGCAUUCGCAUCUAAGCAUGGAUAACAUGUAGUUGAUCUUGACAGUGGCAAGUUCUGCAUUAGUGCUGCUAGGAACCAAAUUUCCACAAACCAAUUAGUAAAGGAUGUGAAUAUUGCUAUUGAGGGUCGUAACUUUUCAGCAAACCUUGUAAUUUUGCCGGGAUUGGGCAUAGAUGUUAUCUUAGGGAUGAAUUGGAUGAGCAAUAAUGGGGUGCUAAUAGACACCUCCACGAGGGUAGUCAUGUUGCGAGAGCCUGAUAGCAAAGAAGCCUUCUUAGUUCAGCUUCCCAAGAAUGAUGACAUCCGUCAUGCUGCCAAUGCUAUUAGACCACUCGCUGUGGCAGAGAUUCCUGUAGUGUGUGAGUUUCCGGAUGUCUUUCCUGAGGAUCUGCCCGGUUUGCCACCGGACAGGGACAUAGAGUUUAAAAUUGAUCUAAUUCCGGGUACCACACCUAUCUCUAGAAGGCCAUAUCGAAUGCCACCCAACGAAUUGGCAGAAUUGAAAAAGCAAUUGCAAGAACAUCUCGAGAAAGGUCUUAUUCGGCCUAGUUCUUCUCCAUGGGGUUGUCCGGCUCUCUUUGUCAAGAAGAAGGAAAAGUCUCUACGUAUGUGUGUAGACUAUCGUCCGCUCAAUGCCGUGACUGUUAAAAACAAGUAUCCACUGCCUCGCAUUGAUAUCCUGUUUGAUAAAUUAGCCAAGGCCAAAGUAUUCUCCAAGAUUGAUCUGAGAUCUGGGUAUCAUCAAAUCAAGAUCCGACCUGAAGACAUUCCUAAAACGGCUUUCUCUACCAGGUAUGGGUUAUAUGAGUAUCUAGUCAUGUCCUUUGGUCUGACUAAUGCCCCUGCUCAUUUCAUGUACCCGAUGAAUUCGGUGUUCAUGCCUGAACUGGAUAAGUUUGUAGUGGUGUUCAUCGAUGAUAUAUUGGUGUAUUCUAAAAAUGCACAAGAACAUGAGAAGCAUCUUCGGAUUGUACUCACUAGAUUGCGAGAACAUCAGCUCUAUGCCAAGUUCAGCAAGUGUGAGUUUUGGCUGAAGAAAGUGCCUUUCCUAGGCCAUAUUCUAUCCGAAGAGGGUAUUUCGGUUGACCCAUCAAAGGUGUAGGAGGUUCUAGACUGGAAGGCCCCAACUUCAGUGCACGAGGUUCGGAGUUUUCUCGGUCUAGCUGGAUAUUAUCGUCACUUUAUUCCGGAUUUCUCCAAAAUAGCUAAUCCUAUGACCAAGCUACUGCAAAAAGAUGUGAAGUUUGUGUGGUCCCAGGAGUGUGAAGUCGCUUUCACCACUUUACGUCAUUUGCUGACCACCGCUCCUAUUCUGGCACAGCCUGACAUUGAAAAGCCAUUUGACGUCUUUUGUGAUGCUUCUGGCACUGGCCUAGGUUGUGUGCUUAUGCAAGAAGGCCGAGUUAUUGCCUACGCCUCUCGGCAGUUGCGGAAACAUGAAGCCAACUACCCAACUCAUGAUCUAGAGUUAGCAGCAGUUGUACAUGCGUUGAAACUCUGGAGGCAUUAUCUGUUAGGUAAUCUAUGUCACAUUUACACUUUCCAUAAGAUCCUCAAAUACAUAUUCACUCAGCCCAAGUUGAACAUGAGACAAAGAAGAUGGUUGGAAUUUAUAAAGGACUAUAACCUUGAAGUACACUAUCAUCCAGGUAAAGCCAAUGUUGUAGUCGAUGCUCUCAGUCAGAAAGAACAUGUUAAACCUCUUCUAGAGGAAGGCUUCAAUUUAUUGCAUCCAGUGGUCCUACACAACAUCUUAGUCAGCUGCUCGUUAGAGAGUCAAAUCAUAGAGCUCCAAAAGUCUGAUCCUGGUAUUUUCCAUAUCAAAAGAAAAAUGCAAGAGCAAGACACCAAGCAUUUCAGGGUAGAUGAGAAGGGUGUACUGUGGUUUGACGAUCGAUUAGUUGUACCUAAAGACCGUGACCUACGCAACAAAAUUUUAGAUGAAGCUCAUUCUUCCAAGUUGUCCAUUCAUCCGGGAAGUAGCAAAAUGUACCAAGACUUGAAACCUCGUUUCUGGUGGACCAAGAUGAAGAAGGAGAUAGACCAAGAUGAAGAAGGAGAUAGCAGCUUAUGUUGCUAGGUGUGAUACUUGCUGCAGGGUAAAAGCAGUUCACCUCAAAACUGCAGGUUUGUUACAACCGUUGUCAGUUCUAGGUUGGAAAUGGGAAGAAAUCAGCAUGGAUUUCAUUGUCAGCCUUCCCCCUACCCAAAAGGGACACGACUCCAUAUGGGUGAUUGUUGACCGUUUGACCAACUCAGCUCACUUUAUUCCCGUACGUUCUACAUACCGACCAUCCGACUAUGCUGAGCUGUACUUCUCUCAGAUUGUCAGACUGCACGGAGUGCCUCACACUAUUAUUUCUGAUAGAGGUCCAUAGUUUACUGCCCGCUUUUGGGAGCAUCUGCAUUCACUCCUUGGUACGAAAUUGAUUCGCAGUUCAGCAUACCAUCCUCAAACCUCCGGUCAGACUGAGCGUGUGAAUCAAAUUUUAGAGGAUAUGUUGAGGGCAUUUGUUAUAUCUUCCAAGGGUGCAUGGGAGAAAUGGCUACCCUUAGCUGAAUUCUCUUACAACAAUAAUUAUCAAGAGAGUAUCCAAAUGGCUCCUUUUGAAGCUUUAUAUGGCCGCAAGUGUAGAACUCCUCUAAACUGGGUCGAACCUGGCGAAAGGAGGUACUAUGGGAUUGACUUUGUCAAAGAAGCCGAAGAGCAAGUUCUCAUUAUCCAGCAACACAUGAGAGCCGCCCAGGCUAGGCAGAAAAGCUAUGCUAACCGAAGAAGAAAACCACUCUAGUUCGAAGUAGGUGACUUUGUGUACCUAAAGGUAUCGCCCAUGAAGGGAGUAAAUCACUUUGGCGUAAAAAGAAAACUUGCCCCUAGGUAUGUGGGUCCCUACCAAAUCAUUGAGAAGAGCGGCAAGGUAGCUUACAAAGUACAACUACCCCCAGAAAUGAGAGCUAUUUUCCCCGUAUUCCACGUGUCUCAACUCAAGAAGUGUCUUCGUGUGCCCGAAGAGAGAGUUGAAACAAGAGAUAUCAAGUUGCAGUCCGAUCUAUCCUACGAAGAAAAGCCUGUACAAGUUCUUGAUAUCAAGUAAAGGGUUACUCGUGGGAGAGUAAUCAAACUUUUUAGAGUUUUGUGGAAUCGUCAAAGUGAGAGAGAUGCCACUUGGGAAAGGGAAGACUAUUUACAAGUAACCUAUCCCUCAUUCUACGAAAAAUGGUACGUCUUUCAAAUCUCGGGAUGAGAUUUUUGUAAGGGGGGAGGGCUGUAACACUUCUAGUGUUAGCUUGCAUGUUAACCAUGAGCAUUGCAUCAACAUAAGCAUCAUCAUGCUCAUUCAUAAACAUACAUCAUGAUCACAUGUCAUCUUAUGUGUCCCAUGUAUGAUUAAAUUACUUGUGUGGCUUGAUUUGAGUGACUUUAGUAGGUGACCAAUGCAUACAAGUAUACAUUGUCUUCCAAAAUACUUUAAUUAUGUUUAGAACAACAUUUUGAACAAAGUUCAUGUUGGAGGUUUUGGCCAAAAAUGUCUCUAAGCCAUGGUUAACCCUAGGUUGCCCUAAUUGUCCCCCUAGACCUCUUUCCAAAGUUGUUUUAUGAAACUGGUGUUAGAUACUUUGCAUGUAAAUGACACCUGAAACAAAGUUGUAGAGAAUUUCAUAAGCUACAAAAGUUAUGUUGAUGACUUUUUAUGAAAAAGCAUAGAACAAAUCCAAAAUUUAUUCACAAGCCAAAAAUCAGGGCUGAUUUCACACUUAGCCGAAUUUGGCUAAGUCUUGAAUCACACAGUUUCGAGGUAGGGUUGUUGGCAACGUUGUAGAUUGAAAUCCAGACCGAUUUAGACUGAGCUCGUGUAAUCAAACUUGUAGAACUCGUGUAGCUCUAUCCAGAGGAUCAAAUUCGAGCCAAAACCAUUGAUUGAGCUGAGAGUAAGACGUUGUUAAACUUCAGGAUUCAGUCAUUGCAAUCGGCGUUUCAGAAAAACGUUUCAGACUAGACAGAGCUCACCCGCCGCCGCGUGUCCGGCCACCUGUCGGCCGUACGCCGUUGACGGCCCCCUCUGUCAGCUCCCACGGUGUCCACAAGUCACCACGCACCGAGUGGAUGCCUCAGACGUGACCUUCUCGCUCAGAGCCUCCCAUUUCGCUCCGCCAUUGCCACAGCGAGCUCCGCCGCGCUUCGGCGAGCUUUCCCGGCCGUUCCUCCGCGUCUCCGGCCGAGCCAGUCCGCCCAGAGCUCCACCUCGACGUCCUCCACCUUGGCGUCACCUCCUUGGCCACUGUCGAGCACAGGUGAGACGGCAUUGCCGAGCUCCGAGCCGUUCUCCCUCGUCGGAGUUCCACCCGAGCUCACCGGCGACGUGGCCAGGCCUCUCUGCUCCACCAUUUCCCUCCAUUCUUGUUUCUAUCGCUUUCCCUUGGCUCACUGAUGCUCGGCGUGAAGCUCUACCGCAUCGCCAUUGCCUAGAUCCGCCGGCGUAACGCCGCGCAGCGCCGCCGAGCCGCCAUUCCCGACGGCGUGGGUCCCGGGUGUCAGUCUCUCCCUCUCACAUCCCUGGUUCACUGUUUGCAGAUCCUGUGUUGAUUUUGUAAAAUUCAUAUCUCGAGUUUUAUAGGUCCAAAUGACAUGGUUCCAAUUUUGCUAGGUUCCUGUAUAAGUCUAGUUUGUAAUAAAAAUAUGAAACAUGCCAUAUUUUUGCAGAAAUAAAUAGAUAUAAUUUAAUCUUGUUUUAUUAGGAGGUAAUUAUAUCUUGAGAUCUGUUGAUCUGUUGACUAUGUAAAUUUAGGGUGUUGUUACUUAUGAUAUGAAUGGGCUCUGAUAAAUUUAUCAUGAUUUUUGGAAGCCUGAUUGCGAAGUUAUAAUUAUUUAUUGUUUAAAUAGGAGUUCCUUGUGGUAUUUUUAAUAAAUAAGUUAUAACUCCUUUUGUGGUAAAACUUGCUGAGUGUUGUACUCAUGUGUAAACAAAGCUAGGAAAAAUCUAAAAUCUAUUGUUUGACACUUGUUGAUAGGGUUUCACAUUUAUGCCUUGCAUGCCUUUGUUAGCUUGUUAUUUUUAUAUCUCACAAUCUGUAUGUGCAAAUAUCCUGAAAAUUUUACAUUAAGCUUAUGUUAGCAUAAGUAGCUUGCUGUAAUUUUCUCAGAAGUUUUGGAACACUUGGAAUGCAUGAUCGUUAAAUCACCUUAAUAGUUAAAUAAAUGAAAAAGGUGAUGAUAGAAAUAAGUCCAGCCCUUGCCAUGAUGUUUUCUAGUGUUUUUUAGAUAUGUUCUACCUACUGGUGCAUUUGGAUUGACCCUUUAAUACAAUCUUGUUAUGUGCAAAAUAUUAUUUUUGCUAUUUAUGCCUUUCUUAGAGUAAUCCUGUGUAGCUAAUAGCAAUUGCUUAAGAACUAAUUGAAGAUGAUGUUUUCUGGGAAACUUGUCUACAACAAACUUGUAGCUAACUUGCUUAUCUACUUCGUGUCUAAUUUUUAUGACAUUUGGUUGAGUAGUUUAAAUGUUAUGAAUGUUACAAGUAGCUUCUGCAAAGUGCUUGCUCUCUGGAUUUUCCAGGGCAGCCAGCCAACUUUGUAUGUUUUAGCAUAUUUCGGUUGGGAAUCAUUCUGGGAUGUCUAAAAGUGAAUUGUAGACAAUUUGCUAAGCUUUCCAGAGAGUAUCUACUUCCUUAGUUUGGCCAACUGAUGCUUAAGUUAUAGCUGAAACUUUUGACAAGUUGGUUUGUCUAUGAAACCAGUGACUAAGUAGGAAUAGCUAAGGUUGAUUAACUUGUCUCGUUAGCCUCUCUACCAGAGAAGAAGUAUGCACUUACUUGUUAUUCUAUAAUCCACUUAACUUUAGGAGCUUAUGCUCAUGUUUAUACCUGGUUGUGUGUUCUUUAGUUCUUCAUCAUGUCAUCAUGCUUCAUAUGUGCAUUCUCUAUAUUUAUUCCCUUGUCAUGCAUACAUAAGUGUACCCAAGGGCGUGAUGGUUCUGGAGUUGGAGCUGCCAGAAUCAGAAGGUCAACAAGGAGAGCCACCUCAAGGAGCUGAGGAGGAGGAGGACUUGCCGGAGUGUCCCGACCAUCGCCCGUCCACCUACGUUGAAGGCAAGCCCCGGAGCAUUAUAAGCCUCCCACUAUUUUAUUAUCAUGUUCAGCUAUCAACUGACUAUGGUCAUAUAUUGUUGCAUUAAGUGUUAGGCAUUGAUAUGACACCCUUGUUGCAUAAUGACUACCUUGUCCACCUCAUAUAUCACCUAAGUAGGUCCAGGAUCGAAAUAAUGCUUAGCCAUGCUUAGCUCGGUAGAAGCCGGGUGAUUUCCUGUCACCUGCGAGAGUUAGGUGGAUGAUGAUCACGGUUGGCUAUAUUUGCUAUCGUGGAAAUAAACAUGAGCUAAUAAUGAACUUGAGACCGGGCGGGAUGACGAUAGUGUAGCAACAAGGCAUGGAGGUCUUGGGUGUGAAUCUAUCCCCGUCUGUGUCAUUUAAGGACCGAAUCGCUGUACGUCCCCGUCUCAUGUUGAACGCAUGCCUAUCACUUAGUUGGCCGGAUAAGUCGUUCCGACCGCGAAGCCUACGAGUGCAUCUCCGGCUGGAUACCCUGUUCGGUUUAAGUGCGCACCCCGGUUGGUAGCAAGGAUGUGCGGGGAGUCAAUGGUGUAAGACCGAGGUGUCAGGUUAGAGUCCUGACCCUGGCAGAUUGGCGGUCCCUGGGGUUGCGGCGCUGUACAGACCCGCGAAUUGCUACGGAGUUGUGCUAAAGGUGAUCCGAGCUGCCAUCAUGAAGUAUGCUUGGGUGAGUGUUAGGAAUACCCCUCCAGCUGGAUAGGAAUCGAUUCGAAUCGCCGUCUCUCCAGGAUAGUGAGAACUUGAAUUGGGCAGCGGCAACAUAGAAUUCACUAAGUAAACAUAAUGGUUAUGAUGAGAAUGUUGAUAGCAAAGUGAUAAUCUGGAUAUGGUUAUUAUUGUGAUGCUUAAAUAUUCAAGUGUAUGCUUAGAACAGGUGCUAAUCUAGUGGAUAGUUGUUAAGUAAUAAACCUACUGCUGAAAUAUUAUUAAAUGGGUCACUUACAACAAAGGCUUUUUAUGCAAAAGGUGAGUCAAACCAAUCCACCAAGAUCAGCCUUGCAUACUCCUUGGUGUCACUUUAUUUCUAGUUUAUGACGGGUAAGUCUAGCUGAGUACCUUCUCGUACUCAGGGUUUUAUUUACCCCUGUUGCAGAUGAUGUCGUUUAUCACGGCUACUGUGCUAACUGCCAUCAUCCGGCUGCGGACGAUGAAUAGAUCAUGGGCGUGAUCACCUUCUUUAUCUUCGGUUGUGCUUUUGUUGGGUUUGACCAUGGAACUGGCUUGUAAUAUAAACUGAGUGUGUGAUGUUCAAAACUACUUUGUUUCCUCUACUACUCUGGUUUGUAAUAACCACUUUUAAACUCAGAUGUGAUGUAAAACUAUGUUCUGUGAUGAAUGUAUGUAAUCUGUGAUGGUGAUGCUUGAUCAUGUAUGAUCUUGGUUGUAUGUUGGUUGAAUCGAGGUCUUUUGAGAUUUCGUCGGACUACCGGGUUUAUAUGGGUUCAAGUCCAUUGGCUUGACUGCCUCUGUGGUCGCUAAUUCACUUGAAUUCUUAUAAAUUGGACGGUUCUGUUACAUACUUAGCCCAAACCAGUAUAAUUCUCUGUGUUCCACUUGUAUCACCAUUAGGGUUUAGGAGGACACGCAGACUUAUCACUCGUUAGUGUCUAGACGACGAUUCUAGACGCCAAGACUACUACUACUAGGAUUAUUAUGGUGAUGUACUGAUUCCCCUUCAUCUUUUCGAACGACGGCACAAGAAAUAUAACCAAGGAAGGCUACUAGAAAUGGAGAUCAUCGGACUGCAAAUGGAGAUUGCAAAAUUCAUCUUGUCUGAAGUACUUUCAAAAGAUGGAUCAUAUUCCAUUACACAAUUCCAAAACUACAAUGACCAAUUUGGGUGAGAGCAGAUUGCUAGGCUCUUGUAAUUUCUUUUUUAGUAUUAGUGAUCGAGAUCUUGUAUACAACACUUGAAUUGUAAGUGUACCAGAUAUUGUCAUGACUUUUGUUCUUUUGAUCUUUUUUAGACCAUUUGAAUUAAAAUGGCCAACUAGAACCCAAAAUAUUAGAAAACUAAAUUAAAAAAAACAUAAAACCUAUGUGUCACUGCUAGCUAGAGUGAACCGACAGUGUUGAUGACCAAGAGCACUGCCGAAUAACAACUAGAACCGGCAGUGUUGGCUCAAGCUAACACUGCCGGUUCUUGUGAUAGCUGGCAAUGUUGAUGGCCAAGAGCUGGUGGGUAGCUACCAGAACCGGCAGUGUUGGCUGUCGCUAACACUGCCGGUUUUUGUUACAGCCAGCAGUGUUGUUUGCAAUAACAUUGUCGGUUGGCUACCUGAACCGGCAGUGUUGGUGAUAGAUAACACUGUCGGUUGUUUGUGUGCUCCGACAGUGUUAUGGACGAUCACUGCUGGUUUAUAGAAAUCAAUAGUGUUUUGGUCUCCACAUCAUUGCCGCUUUGGUACUGCUGAUUCAAAAUCAGCAGUGAUCGUAUCUGUAGUAGUGAAUGAGGAGGAUGAGAAAGGAUGACACACAUGAUGUAGAUGAUGACGUCCUGGCUUACUAGUUUCUCUCUUAACACUGCUAAUGUUCACGAAGGAGCCUAAGAAACAUGUGAUGAUGAGGCACUUGGCCGAUGAGCUUGACCAGAGGACUAUCAAUACUAUGUUCUAUACAAACAUCAGCUCAGAGGUAAGACACCUUUGGGUUGCACUGAGCACAUAUAGGAUGAAUCCUUUCAACCAGGUCAAAAGCAACCAUAGCACUUGGCCAGUGACACUUUAUAUAUAGAACCUUCUACCUUAACUCUGUAUGAAGCAGUCAUACAUCCAGAUGGUGCUACUGAUCCAAGGGCCAAAACCACCAGGGAAUGACAACGACACAUUCCUAGAACCAAUGAUUGAUGAACUUGUACAGUUACUACAAUCACCGAUCUGCCAGGGCGACGUUGCCUGUCAAGACAGAACACAAAAGGGUAUAUGAAUGCGUCGAGUGCUUAGACGACACCAAUGUGGUACAUCUAAAGAAUAACUCAAAAGUUAUUUAUAUGGGACACCAUAAGUUCCUGCAUAUGGACCACCCGUACCGUAGAAACAAAAAAGAUUUUGAUGGCACUGUUGAUAGACGCAAGCCUCUAGAGUAUGGAGGUGUAGGACUCAAAGAAUGAACCAUUUGCACAUUUGCAAUCACAAGUGGCGGUGUUGAAUUUGUACGCACUCCUCAUAACAUAUUAUUUUUUGAUUAUACAUAUCCCUUUCUAAUGUUUCACCUUUUAACUAUUUAUUAUAAUAUUGCACAGUAUUUGAAAAAGGCAUAUAGGAGGGACGCAAACCAAUUUCAAGGUUGUUGAAAUGCAAGACAUUCCAUACUUCAACCGGCGGGAAACAAUUAGUGUGGGUUCUAUGUGAUGUGGGCAACGCUUUCUUACAUCGGAGUCAAUACGAAAGAGGGAGAUAACUUGGUGAGUAGUGGUAUUAUUAUUAUUAUUAUUAUUAUUAUUAUUAUUAUUAUUAUUAUUAUUAUUAUUAUUAUUAUUAUUAUUAUUAUUAUUAUUAUUAUUAUUAUUAUUAUUAUUAUUAUUAUUAUUAUUGUUGUUGUUGUUGUUGUUGUUGUUGUUGUUGUGGUUGUUGUUGUUGUUGUUUUGUCGUCGUUGUUAUUGUUGUUGUUGUUGUUAUUAUUAUUAUUAUUAUUAUUAUUAUUAUUAUUAUUAUUAUUAUUAUUAUUAUUAUUAUUAUUAUUAUUACUACUACUACUACUACUACUACUACUACUACUACUAUUAUUAUGGUGAUGUACUUAUUCCCCUUCAUCUUAUCGAACGACAGCGCAAGAAAUAUAACCAUUGAAGGCUACUAGAAAUGGAGAUCGUCGGACUGCAAAUGGAGAUUGCAAAAUUAAUCUUGUCUAAAGUACUUUCAAAAGAUGGAUCAUAUUCCAUUGCAUAAUCCCAAACCUACAAGGACGAAUUUGGGCCAGAAUGGAUCGCUAGGCUCUUGUAAUUUUUUUUUUAAUUUUAGUGAUCGAGAUCUUGUAAACAACACUUGAAUUUGUCAUAUCUAUUGUUGUUUUGAUCUUUUUUAGAACAUUUUAAUUAAGAUGGCCAACUAGAACUCAAAAUAUUAGAAAACCAAAUUAAAAAACCCUAAAACCUACAUGUCACUGCCAGCUAGAGUGAACCGGCAGUGUUGAUGACCAAGAGCACUGCCGAAUAGCAACUAGAACCGGCAGGGUUGGCUCAAGCUAACACUGCCGGUUCUUAUGCUAGCCAGCAGUGUUGAUGGCCAAAAGCACUGCCGGGUAGCUACCUGAACCGGUAGUGUUGGCUGUCAGCUAACACUAUCGAUUCUUGUUGCAGCCGACAGUGUUGUUUGCAAUAACAGUGUCGGUUGGCUACCUAAACCAGCAGUGUUAGUGACGGAUAACACUAUCGGUUGUUUGUGUGCUCCGGCAGUGUUGUGGACGAUCACUGUUGGUUUAUAGAAACCGAUAGUGUUUUGGUCUCCACAUCACUGCCUCUUUGGUACUGCUGGUUCAAAAUCCAGCAGUGAUAGGUGUUACAAACCGGCAGUGAUCGGAUCUGUAGUAGUGAAUGAGGAGGAUGUCAUGCAUGCUGAAGAUGAUGACGUCUUGGCUUACUAGUUUCUCCCUUAACACUGCUAAUGUUCAUGAAGGAGCGUAAGAAAGAUGUUAUGAUGAGGCACCUAGUCGAUGGGCUUGACUAGAGGACUAUCAAUGCUAUGUUCUAUAAAAACAUCAGCGGAGAGGUAAGACACCUUUGGGUUGCAUUGAGCACAUAUAGGAUGAAUGUUUUCGACCAGGUCAGAAGCAACCAUAGCACUUGGCCUAUGACACUUUGUAUAUACAACCUUCUACCUUAUCUCUGUAUGAAGCGGUCAUACAUCCAGAUGGCAGUACUGAUCCAAUGGCCAAAACAACUAGGGAAUGACAUCGACAUGUUCCUAGAACCAAUGAUCGAUGAACUUGUGCAGUUGUUUAACAAGGGUGUGGAGCAUGUUUGGGAUGAGUACAAAAAGGAACAUGAUCAAGGUAGUGCUUAUCGCUACAAUCACCGAUCUGCCAGGGCAACGUUGCCUGUCAAGAGAGAAGACAAAAGGCUAUAUGGAUGCGUCGAGUGCUUAGACGACACCAAUGUGGUACAUCUAAAGAAUAACUCAAAACUUAUUUAUAUGGGACACCAUAAGUUCUUGCCUACAGACCAACCGUACCAUAGAAACAAAAAAAGAUUUUGAUGGCACUGUUGACAGACGCAGGACUCCAAACUAUGGAGGUCUAGGACUCGAAGAAGGAACCAUUUGCACAUUUGCAACCUUGGCGGUGUUGAAUUCGUAUGCGCUCCUCAUAACAUAUUAUUUUCUGAUCAUACAUAUCCCUUUCUGAUGAUUCACCUUUUAACUAUUUAUUAUAAUAUUGCACCGUAUCGAGGAUAUCAAUGAGGGGGUACCCCAGUAGACAUCCCAAAAAGAAGCAAAGGUCCCACCUGCUCUGACAGGGGUAAAAAGCCCGGCAUACAGCCAUCCAAGGCCAGCUCAAGAACAGGCCUCGACGUCUCACCAACCAUGUGCUAAUCGUGACCUUGACUCGACAUACCAAGAAUGCUUGUAGCAUACCGAUCGACGUAACACUCAUCAACGGAAAAUAGCUCAAGUGAACGCCUAAACCUCGAGAUCACACAUCCCUUGAUUGCGGAAUCAAGGUCGAGCGAACCGCGCUGCCUCAAGUGUGGGACGCACCCCCUCUGCCAGCCGUUAGUAUGGAUUCUAGAGCAUUUAAUGCGACUGACAAGCCCCCACUUAACGCCAUGGCGGCCAAAGCUGUGAUGAUGGGUCGUACUCCCAUCAGGUCACAGUUUUUAUCAGCUUUAUCUUGAAACCCAGGAAAGGGUACGCGCCAGUACUGUAACGGACAGUGUAACAUCCCAUCGGGCAACCCCUCAAGACGUAAUGGUCAACACUUCCUUCACCGGGCCCUACCCGGUCGGCCUGAACCUCGAGGCCAUCGGACACUUCACAGGGAAGGAGUUGUGAUGCGACAUGUUGGCCCAAUCUUCAGGACGUAGGAAGAACACCAAUAACUAUCCGAAGAACAGCCGGAUAACUUGCUCCAAGCAGCGAUAACUAGUGAACCUGGCAAAUAAAACUCGAAACCAACCACCAUCUUUAACCGGCAAUCUGAAUCGAGGAUUCGCCCAACCACACUCUCAAAGAACCAACCAACACAACCUACAAUCAAUCAAGGAAUACCUUGAAGGGAGUAGGAGCACCAAUUGGGAGCGGAUGAAGCCACCGCCUAUGUAAUCCCGUGAGGAAAUCACAAGAGCAAGGGGUAGAGAUCACUCUCUGAAUAUUUGUUAGCACAUAGCUAAACAAAAGGGGUUUUGUAUUUCAAUUAUCAAAAGUCUUAGAUUACAAAGAGUCUUAGGGGGUACUUAUACUAGCAACAGCCGUGCUAGGUUGGUAUGAAAACGAAAUAGUGUUUCUGAGGGAAGGCAAUGUGAAAGGUCCCCUCGGAAUGGAUUCUCGAACUGGCUUCGCGUGACUGUUGGCCUCCAGAGCAGUUUCCAAUAAACUGAACAUAACUUCUUAUUGGGUAGACCAAAUGAUGAACCGUUUCUUGGGUGUGAAACUAGACUCAAAGGGCUUUCCAUAAAUGUAUGCCAACCAGCAUGAAACAUUGCAGAUUGGUACAGUUUUACUUAGCAAGUUGUACCAACAUUCUGUCACGACACACUGUUGACCAUCUGAGCAAUCUAUACUAAUUCUAGUCUGUAGGCAAUAUGUUGUAUCCAAACUGGUCGCCACUAGAUUCAUUGGAAAGUAGACUCAACAGUCUUUCCAACAAGUCCUCAUGGACCUUCAUAGCCUUUGUGAGUAAAAAGUUAUUAAGAUUUCUUUGCACUGGUCCAUUCUUGACUCUACUGGUCCGUUUUUAACUCUUCUGGUCCGUUUGGCUAGUGUUGCACUGGUCCGUUAUUUAGGGUCCGAUUCAUCAUUCUCUUCUUCUAUAUACCUGAGUACAAUCAAGGUACAACACUUAGGUAGUAUAUAAUUCUCAUUGAUGUUAAAAUGAAUCUCACAAUGUAGCGCGUGGACCUCUUGUUGUAGCUUCUUUGCACGACUACGUGUAAUCGUUCCAUCGAUGACUUGGGUUGGUGUCGGGGUAGGUGAAACUUGAGUUGGUGUAGCUUACAUGGAGCUUGUGACAUCUUGCUUGGUAGCGUGGUCAUAUCAUCCUCCCCCUCUUGAAAAGUAGUCGUCCUUGACUCUAAAGGAUCUUGACUUGUGAAUGGAGAGAGAUCAGCAACAACAUUGUCCUUACCUUUCUUGUAUUUUACAAUGUAUGGAAAUGUUUCGAUGAACUCAACCAAUUUGCCAUGACGAUGGUUCAGUGUUGCUUGUCCUUUCAAGUACUACAAAGCUUCUUGAUCAGAGUGAAUAAUAAAUUCUUUUGGCCAUAAGUAGUGCUGCCAUGUUUCAAGCACACGCACUAAGGCGUAUAUUUCUUUAUCAUACAUAGAAUAAUUCAGUUGAGCACCUCCUAGUUUUUCACUAGAAUAUGCUAUAGGUUUUCCUUGUUGCAUUAAAACUCCUCCUAUUCCAAUUCCACUAGCAUCACAUUCUAUUUCAAAAGUUUUAGUGAAAUCAGGAAGAACAAGUACAGGUGCUUCAGUCAAACGUUUCUUUAAUUCUUCAAACGCAUUUUGUUGUGAUUUUCCCCAUUUAAAGUCAACACCUUUCUUUGUCAAUUCAUUUAAUGGAUCAGCAAUGGUACUGAAAUCUCUCACAAACCUCAUAUAAAAACCAGCAAGGCCAUGCAAACUUCUUACUUGACUUACAUUCAUUGGAGUUGGCCAAUCCCCGAUGGCUUUCACCUUGCUUUCAUCCACUUCUAUGCCUUAUCCUGAAACAACAAAGCCAAGAAACACAACAUGGUGUGUGCAAAAACUGCACUUCUCAAGAUUAGCAAAUAAUUUCUCCUUUCUGAGCUCUUCCAAGACUUGCCAAAUAUGAUUCACAUGUUCCUCAAAAGACUUGCUGUAAAUUAAGAUAUCAUCGAUGUAGACAACAACAAAUUUUCCAAUGAAAGCUCUCAAGACUUGGUUCAUUAAUCUCAUGAAUAUACUAGGAGCAUUAGUCAAACCAAAAGGCAUAAAUGAACUUUAGUGAAUAUGGUGGAACCACUCAAUUCAUCAAGCAUGUCAUCUAAACAUGGAAUGGGAUGUCGAUAGCAUACAUUGAUAUUAUUUAUAGCUCUACAGUCAACACACAUCCUCCAAGAACCAUAUUUCUUAGGUGCUAAAAUUACAGGAACUACACAAGGACUUAAACUUUCAUGAACAAAACCUUUAUCAAGAAGUUCCUGCACUUGCCUUUGUAUUUCCUUUGUUUCUUUUGGAUUGGUUCGGUAUGGUGGUCAAUUAGAUAGUGCAGCCCCUGGAAUGAGAUCAAUUUGAUGCUCAAUCCCACGAAUUGGAGAUAGUCCAACUGGUGUCUCCUUUAGAAAAACAUCUUCAUAGUCCUGCAAAAGAUGAGACAUGUAACACCCUAGGUGUUAAGCAUGCACUUAGUCUCAUCAAAGUCAUGCAUAAGCACUCUCAUCAAUCAUAAGCAUCAUGAGCAUGUCAUUCUUUUAAGAAUAUGGUUUUAUGUGCAUCAUUUCAUGUGCUUUAAUUAUGUUAAAAAUGUGAUGUUUGUUUCUAAAAUUGUGAAAUAUUCAAAUUAGGUUGCUUUAUGUGUAAGAAGAAUUUAGAACAUUUUUGUGCAAUUUUUUGGAGCUAUGGAAAUUGAGAAAUGGAAUUUAUACAAAAUAUCCAAAAUAACUUUAUUUAAAAACCUAGAACUAAGUUUUAAUUUGUAAUUCAAAUUCUAUUUAGAAUUUGGUCUUACCUAUUAAAGCAAAGUUGUAGAGCUUUUAGUUUGGCACCACUUUGCUUUUGGGUGAAAAUGGUGAAAAUAAUUUGAACAUGGUCAAAAUGCUUUUGGAAGAGGAUUUAAGAAAAGAAAAUUUAAAAAAAAAUGGAAAAGGGAAAAGGGGGCGCUAGCAGGCCGCGGCCUCGCUUCUGGCCCACUGGCCGAAGCCGGCUCGGCCCGCCCACGCUCUCCCCUCCCCCUUCCCCGCGCUCGCGCCCGCGUCCGCGCGCGGACGGCCUCGCCGCGACGCCGUGCCGCGCCGGCAGGACUCGGCCGCCGCGUGGCGGGCAUGCGGCAGCGAGGACGCGCCCCGGUCGGCCACCAAAGCGCCCCGGUCGCGCUCGCCUCCGCCCCCGCUCCCAUUUGUGCCCCUCAGCUCCCUCUCUCUCGCUCUCUCGCCCUCGCCCCGCACGCGCAGAGCGCCGCCGUCGCCAUUGGAGCCCGAGCUCCGCCUCGGCUGUUCCUCCCCCGUGCGUGCGCCAUUCUUCGAUUAGUUCUUCCCCGAGCUUCGCCCUCGCUCCGCCGUUGCGGAACGCUCAUCUGAGCGCUCGGUAAGGCACGGUGAGCCCCGCUCGCCCUCGCUUUCUUUUCCGUCGAGAGCUCCGCCGCCGCACGCGUGGUCCGCGCGUCUCCAUGCCUUCCGGUGCUGCGUAGUUGGCGCAUCGUGUUCGCCUUGGCACCGCGAUGCUCGCAAGCCCCUCCAGCCAUGCUCUACCGAGCCGGCGUCCCGUACCGACGAUGAGCAGCGCCGCCGCUCCGCCAUGGCCGGUGGCGAGCCUGCUCCGGUCCGUGUUAGGCCGCGCAAAUGGGCGCGCUAGGUCCGCCGUGAGCCGUAGAGCGUGUAGAGCCGCUUGAUUCGCCGAAAGGCGUCGCCGACGGUGAGCUCCGGCCCCCUCUGCGCUCUGACCAGCGGGCCCGGCUGGCAGGCGGGUCCGCUCGUCAGCGGCCGCGGGUGCACUGCACCGGGUGCACCUAGCAGGUCUCGGGGUGGAUUUGAUUUGUUUUCAGAAAAAUAAUUUCCAGGAAAUGAUUUAAAUGUUCAAAAAUCCAUAUCUUGAUGAAUAUAGUUCCAAAAAUUGUGAAAUAAAUUUUGGUGCAAUCCUUGUUUCCAGAUCUAUAGCCUAGUAUGAUUGCAUGUCAUGUUUGAGUAACUUUCCUGUAAGAAUAUAAUUAAUCCAUGUUUUUCCUAAACUUGGAAAAUGCAUAGUAAAUAAAAUAGGGUUCAGAAAAAUGUAAAACUUGUUUUGCUGGCUCUGCAUGUGUGUUUACUCACUGAGAAAAUAUUGUUACAUAUUAUUUGGUGUAUAAAUGAAUUUAUGGUAAUUUAAAUGCUUGCAUGGCAGUGAUUUAUGAUUUUUAAUAAUUAAUUGGGUCAUGCAAUAAAUCUGGAAAAUUUUGUGGGUGUUUCUUAUGAUAUUAUGCAAAUUGUAAAAAUAUGAAAUCUGUUGUUUGACACUUGUAUCCCAGUAGAGUGAUUUUACUUGCCUUAUUAAUUAAUCUUGUGAUUUUUGUGGCUCAAAAUAAGUAUCCAAAAAUCAUGAAAACUUUACAGUAGACUUUAUGCUUAGCUGGUAGUCUCCUGUAAUUUUUUUGAAAUUUAUUGAUGAACAGAAUUGUAUGUGAUUUUUAAUGGGCUUAGAAAUGAAUAAAGAACACCAUGAAAGGUGUAUAUAUAUAGGUUGAAUGGAAUAAGUUGGGUUUGGUGUAUCUUUGAAGCAUCAUGGGGGUUGCUGGUUGCAUUUGAAAAAUAUUUGUAGAAGAGAAUGCAACAGAUGCUUAAUUUAGUUAUUGUUCCCGGAUGAUGUUGACUACCUUGUAAUAAGCAUGACCAAGUGCAUCACCUAUGCAUCAUAACAUGACUCCUUUGACACUCUCUCUUACAAGCAUCCACUCGGGCAUCUCACACUCCACUCAUGAGCAUAUAUGCAUCAUACAGGCUCGCAGGAGAACGAGGUGGGACCCGAGGAGCCAGAGGAGAUUCAGGAGCAGGAACCUCCGGAAGCACCCGAACCCGGAGAGGAACUGCAGGAGUGUCCGGAUCACCGACCCAGCACGUUUGAGAAAGGCAAGCCCCGGAGCAUUCUAAGUCUCCCUAUUCUUGCUAACUUAUAUAAAGUGCUAUACUUGUUCUACUGUAUUGCAUAUUAAGUGAUAGGAGUUGCCUGAUACCGUUGCUGCAUGAGUACUCCUUGUUAUUCCUACCCGUUCAACUACCUUGUCCUAUGUAGAUAGGCACGGAGUCUAUGCUUAGCUUGCUUAGUUCGGUAGAAGUCGGGUGAUUCCCUGUCACCUGCGAGACAUAGGUGGAUACCUGCUUGUUUAAGCAUUGGUUGCUCAGGGAAAAGAAUAACCAGGUGUGGAAUGAAUUUGGAGACCGGGCAGGGUCUUAUGGUGGGUUGACCCUAGUACCCCUGCCUGUGUCGAUUAAGGACCGGUCGUUGAUGGCCCUCUUGUCAUGUUGAACGCAUGCCCCACACUUAGCUGGAAGGAUAAGUCGUUCCGACCGCGAAGCCUGAGCACUAUCCGGGCUGGGAAUCGGCCCGAUGUACGCGCUGUAUUGGUGAUGGUUGAGGAGAACGACGAGGGCGCGGCGCGCAACCUUGGUAUACCUUGGAUACCUCGGUCGCCGGAACGGUCCUCGGGUACGAGCGGUGCCUGUCGAACCCGCGAAUUGGUCCUGGAUAGUGCAACAUGGUGACCUGUAGCUCACUUGAUCAGUGAGUGUAGUUUGUGUGGGGAAUAAACUCGCCAGCUGGUUAGAAAUCGAUUCGAAUCGCCAUCGCUCCUGGAUAGUGAGCACUUGACAUGAGCUUCGUCCUCGUAGUAAGGACUAUGGAACACUUGGGUUAUAAUGAUGAAUGGUUUUUAAGAAAUGCUAUGAUGAGGUACUAUCAUAGUCUCAUGCUUGCUUGUAAUAGAGCAGGUGCAAACCUAGAUGAUAGGAAAUGAUACUUUCAACUUGAGCCAAUUAAAAUGGAUAAAGACUUAUGUAGGUUAUGUUAGCGAAAUACUGCGGUUGUGCAAAUUGGUCGUCAGCUCCCCCACUAUAUAGCCUUCAUGAUCCUUCAUGAGUCUUUAUUUUAAGUUUAUGGCGGGUAAGUCUAGCUGAGUACCCUCUCGUACUCAGGGUUCUAUUCCCAUGUUGUUUUGCAGAUGGUCAAAUGUACUAUGGUUAUUGUAUCCUCUGUCUGUACCCAGCUAUGGGUGAUGACUAGACCAAGGGCGAUGGUCACUCUGUCUCUUCCUUUGCUUUUGUGGGAAUGACCAAACUAUGGCACUGUAUCAGACUUAUCGUGUGUGUAGUAAUUUCGAAUCAUGAAGCUUCCGCUAUUUGAAGAACUUGGUUUGUAAUAACUUUAAGCACUCCGAUGUAUUUUAUGAAUGUUGUAAUCUGGAUGUACUUGUGGAUGGCGACCGCUAAACUUAUUACGAUCUUGGCUGUAUGCGAUGUGUGGUUUGAAAUCCUUCGAGAUUUCACGGACUACCGGGAUUAUAUGGGCUUAAGCGUGAUGGUUCGACUAUGCAAAUGGUCACUAUUAGGCUUAAUCUCUUAUAAUUUGGUCGGUUCUGUUACAUCUGGCAUCGGAGCAAGGUUUAGCGAGUUACUGUUCAUAAGUACGUUUUAAACAAAAAUCUAAACCGGUUUAGUAAAAGAUUUUAUUUAUUAAUUAAUAAUGAUCAAGGUGUUAAACUAAGUUUUGGGAAAAUUAUCUAGUGUGCCAUGGUCAUAUCCUUUAUGCCCAGUUAAGGACUCUAAGGUGGCUACCUAAGUACUGACUUGGGGGUUAAUGCAUCAUAUUUUUAUUCCGUCGCUCAUACGGCGUGCAAUAGUAUGAGUGCCAUUCAUUUGAGUGGUAAUGUAUGGAUCAAUUCUUCCUCUACGCCAUGGUAAGUGGGAGUUGUGAGAGCAUGAUCGGAUACACUGCCGGUCUAGGGAAGUGUUGUCAGGUGCUGUGUCAUGCACACAUGUUGGUGUGUCUUGGGAACAGUACCGCAUGCUGGGAAUUCCGUCCUGAGAGGCGAUGCCGUCAUUAGGGCGAUGAUGUGGGUAGUGACACGUCACAUGCAUGGACGGGUGUCUGUGUAUGUGAAGUGUAUAGUUUUAAAUUUUGUUCUGCACGAUCAUACUGUGGGUGGGCUGAAAUGAGUUUUCUGCAGGUACCCUAACCACGUUCUCGCUUAGAACGCUAGCUACGUUAUGAGCGAACGUUGUAUGCCACCGCGUAUACCGCUUAGUGUUAACCUUUGUUUUCUAAGUUUGUGAGAUCGUAAGUUCGUACAUGCAUCAUGUGCAUUUCAUAUCAUUGCUUACUUUCCCCCUUAAUUUAAUCUGUCCCAAUUUUAAAUGAAAUAAAUAAAGGUAAUCCUCGCUCUUACCCACGGUAUUCCAUUUGCAGCAGAUGGCAUGCACUAGGCUCACCGCUCGCAAGUCCACUGGUGGGCGGGCCCCUCGCCGUCCGUUGGCAGCUAGGAGCUCGCGACAUAAGAGCAAGUUCCUAGAGGAGUUUGGGAUGCCCACUUUGCUUUAGAGGGUGCUCAGUUCGAUGGGGUAUCCCGAAGGAAGGGAGCCUCGCUACUAUUGGGAUAAGGAGCCGCUUGGUGACGAGACCCUAGAGGGGAUCGAGGCAGUUGUCCCUACCAGUGGAGGAGACCCUGCUUGGGGCGGUUGGGUGUACGAGUCCCGAGGUGUCACGCCUUUCCACGGUGCCAGCAGGGCAGCUUUCGCAGUUUUGAGGGACCUCAUGGAGAGGUUUCCACAGGAGCUGGCCCACGCCUUCGCUGGGGUGUUUCCCCGGGGUGACCCUUACACUUUGGUGUGGGAUCAGUCCGAGGUGAAUGCUCUAGAGAUGAGUGCGGAUGAGGACCAGCACAGUGACAGUGCAGCUACGAGUGCCAUGUACGCGUUGAUGAAGACCUAUGGAGGCCUGGAGCGUUGUUUGGGUCGCUUGUCCGGGUCUCUUCUCACCGUCCAGGAUGAGAAGCGUCAGUUGCAGCGUGAGUUUGACUCUGAGGUUGAGAGGCUACAGGCAGAGUUGGCUCGUGUGACCAGAGAGAGAGAUCAGGCAGUCCAGAAGAACAGUGAGCUGAGUCAGGACCUGCUUGCAGUGCGGGAGCAGAAGGACAGGGUGACUACUGCUCACAGGAACUGCGAGCGCAUGCUAGUCCAUGUGCUUGGGCAGAGGAAUGAAGCCUGGCACGAGGAGGACACUUUGAGGGCCCGACAGCUGGAGCUAGAGCAGCAGCUAGCUAAUGCCGAGGAGUACAAUGAGAACUUGCAUGAGGAGAUCCACCAGCUGCAUAACCAGCUCCACCCUCACCACCUGCCUGGAGCAGCGGAGCUAGACUCUGAGGACGAGAUUGACGCGGAUCCCGAGAUAGGAGCAGUUGCUAGUGGUGACAAGGAUGAGGAUGGCUCUGGCAUGGACAGUGAUCAUAGCGACUAGAUGCUAGGGCUCUAGAGCUAGUCUUUCCACUUUUGUGAUGUAUGUUGCAUGGCAUGUCAUGUACUUGUGGAUCUGGGCUGUGUAAGACUUUAUGAGUUGAUGCUGAAAGUCCAGUGUAUGUAUGCUGGCAAGUUGGAUGUACGCGAACCUUGUUGCGUGAAUGUUAAGUAAUCUGUUAGUGAUGUUGUGCGUGGAUGAUGAGUUGUUGUGCCUUUGUUUAUUGUGUGAAUUUAUUCCCUCAGUAAAUUCAGUAUGGCACGAUUUUACACAUUUUCUACCGGUUGAUGGCAACUCCUAACGAUUGCUUAUCAUUGGCGUAUGCAGAUGGUACAAACAUGUGGCGGGGGUAACGGCCAUCCGGGUCUUGGAGCAGGUACAUCCGGAAAUGGGGCUCAACGGAAUGAGGACUGAGCACCAACACCACCACCACCUCCCUCGUACACUGCGGAUGUGUUUUUCGCGCAGUUUCUGGGGAGCCAACGCAACAUGGAACAGAUGCAGCGCAACAUGGAAGAAGCUUUGCGCAACAUAGCUGACAACACCCGUCGUGGGGAUAAUCAGGGUGGCCGGGAGGUCAACCAGUACAGUUCGUUCAAGGACUUCAUGGAUACCAAGCCACAAAUCUUUAAGGAGGCCUUGGAACCGCUCGAAGCAGAUGAGUGGAUCAACACCAUGGAGCAGAAGUUUCGUCUUCUCCGAAUGACAGAAGAACUCAAGGCUGAGUAUGCGGCACAUCAGUUGCAAGGACCCGCUUCACCACCGCUUUCCGAGGAAAUUACGUUCCUCCUGGUGUGGUUGAGAUGAAGGUUGGGGAGUUCAUGAGGCUGUCCCAAGGGACGAAGUCUGUGAAGGAGUAUCUACACGCUUUCAACAAUCUCGCUCGCUAUGCCCCUGAGUUUGUGAACACGGAAGCUAAGAAGAUUGCUAGUUUCCAGAGAGGCUUGAAUCCAAAGAUGCUGAAGACCAUGGGUACCGGGGCCAGGGCUACUUUCAAUGCCUAUAUCAGUGACUGUCUGACCCAAGAGAACAAUAACAACAACUACAGUGCAUCCAAGUCACGUAAAAGGGCUUUUGAAGCAGGAUCAUCCCAGUCCAGGGCACCAGUGGCAGGGCGACAGCAGUAUCGUCCUCCUGCCCCGGGUGCAAGGUUCCGACCACCACAGAGAAGGAACACCGGGCAUCCAACCCAGCAGAAGCCGUACAAGGUGGCGAUAGCUCCUGCCAAGCCAAAGGCAAUUCAAGCCGCAGCACCUGCCGCCAACAAUGCGCCCAAGGGUCCGUGCUAUAACUGCCACAAGAUGGGACACUUUGCCAAGGAGUGUCCCUACCCCAAAAGGCAGCAGCCAACCUAUCCAGCUCGUGUGCAUCAUACCUCGAUUGAGGAGAUCCCGGAAGGAGAACCGGUGACAGCGGGUAUGUUUUCUGUCAACCAACAUCUUGCAGUUGUUUUGUUUGAUUCUGGAUCAUCGCAUUCUUUCAUGAGUCAAGCAUUUGCACAAAGGCAUGAUCAGCCAUUUACUGAGUUAGGUUAUGGCUAUCGCAUCAGCUCAGCCGGAGCCGAUGUGUUGACUAAUAAGACGGUAACAGGAGUUACUUUGGAUAUCAGUGGCCGGAGGUUUCGUGUAAACUUUGUGGUCAUGCCAGGACUGGUUUUGGACGUCAUCAUUGGAAUGAACAAGAUGACUGACUGGGGCACGGUUAUAGAUGUUGGGAAUAGAACCCUUUUCCUCAGAGAGCCGCAAGGGAAGGGUGUGUUUCAGGUCAAGUUGCCCCGGCGGUUGGACUUCGCCAGUCUUUCGUGUGCAGUACAGGUAGUUCCCCUAGAACACAUACCCGUGGUAUGUGAGUUCCCUGAUGUGUUUCCCGAGGAGUUACCAGGACUUCCCCCAGAUAGGGAGGUAGAGUUUGCAAUCGAGUUGAUACCAGGUACAGCACCAAUAUCUAGAAGACCGUACCGGAUGCCGCCAAACGAACUCGCAGAGUUGAAGAAGCAACUGAAGGAGUUACUAGAAAAAGGGUUCAUCCGGCCAAGCUCGUCGGAAUGGGGUUGUCCAGCGUUGUUUGUGAAAAAGAAGGAUCAGUCGUUGCGCAUGUGCGUGGACUAUCGUCCACUCAAUGCAGUGACAAUCAAAAAUAAGUACCCCUUGCCAAGGAUUGAUAUCCUGUUUGAUCAGUUAUCCAAGGCCAGAGUGUUUUCUAAGAUAGAUUUGAGGUCGGGGUAUCAUCAGAUCAAGAUUCGUCCGCAAGAUAUCCCGAAGACUGCUUUUUCCACCAGAUAUGGGUUGUAUGAGUAUCUUGUCAUAUCCUUUGGGUUGACAAAUGCUCCUGCUUACUUUAUGUAUCUGAUGAAUUCAGUCUUUAUGCCAGAAUUGGAUAAGUUUGUUGUGGUGUUCAUCGAUGAUAUACUGGUGUAUUCAGAAAAUGAGCAAGAUCACGCCGAGCAUCUGAGAACCGUGCUGACACGGUUACGAGAGCAUCAGUUAUAUGCCAAGUUCAGCAAGUGUGAGUUCUGGUUAAAGAAAGUUCCUUUCCUAGGGCACAUUCUGUCUAAAGAAGGAAUUGCUGUGGAUCCAUCAAAAGUGCAGGAAGUCAUGGACUGGAACGCACCAACUUCGGUCUCGGAAGUUAGAAGUUUUCUUGGUCUGUCCGGGUAUUAUCGUCGUUUUAUACCUGACUUCUACAAGAUUUCUAAGCCAAUGACAAGUUUGCUACAAAAGGACCGUAAGUUUGUCUGGACGGAAGGGUGUGAGUUAGCCUUCCGCACCUUGCGAAAGUUGCUAACCACUGCUCCCGUUCUGGCACAACCUAAUAUAGAGAAGCCUUUUGAUGUAUUUUGUGACGCAUCGAAGAGUGGCCUGGGGUGUGUGUUGAUGCAAGAUAGCAGGGUGAUAGCUUAUGCUUCUCGACAGUUGAGAAAGCAUGAAGUCAACUAUCCGACGCACGACCUUGAGUUAGCAGCAGUGGUACAUGCUUUGAAGAUCUGGAGACAUUAUCUGCUAGGAAAUAAGUGUCACAUUUACACCGAUCACAAGAGUUUGAAGUACAUCUUCACUCAGUCCGAGCUGAAUAUGAGGCAGCGACGGUGGUUAGAGCUAAUCAAGGAUUAUGAUUUGGAAGUUCACUAUCAUCCAGGCAAAGCUAAUGUGGUCGCAGAUGCUUUGAGUCGCAAACCGCACUAUCAAAUGGUUCACCCGUUAUUUGAAGAUGGGUUCGAUCUUAUGCAUCCUGAGGUCUUAUGUCAUACACAACUCAGUUGUUCACUCGAGAGUCAAGUCAUUGAAGGUCAGAAAAUAGACAAGGGUAUUUUCCACAUCAAAGAGAAGAUCAAAGAUGACCCAAAGACUCAGUUUCGGGUUGAUGAGAAGGGGGUACUGUGGUUUCAACAGCGGUUAGUGGUCCCGAAAGAUCGGGAGUUGAAGAAUCGCAUCAUGGAUGAAGCCCAUCUCUCUAAGCUUUCUAUUCAUCCUGGCAGCAGCAAAAUGUAUCAAGAUCUAAGGCCCCACUUUUGGUGGACCAAGAUGAAGAAAGAAAUAGCCGCUUAUGUGGCCCGUUGUGACACGUGUUGCAGAGUUAAGGCCAUCCAUAUGAAACCUGCGGGUCUGUUACAACCGUUAUCAGUUCCGGAGUGGAAAUGGGAAGAGGUCAGUAUGGACUUUAUCACCGGCUUACCGACAACCAGGAAGGGGAAUGACUCGAUUUGGGUAAUCAUAGAUCGAUUAACCAAGUUGGCUCAUUUCAUUCCAGUCAAGAACACAUACAGACCUCCCGAGUAUGCUGAUAUAUAUAUGGCUGAGAUCGUCAAGUUGCAUGGUAUCCCCAAAACCAUUAUAUCGGAUAGAGGACCGCAGUUCACUGCUCACUUCUGGGAGCGCAUGCAUAAGAGUUUGGGGACCAGUUUGAUAAGAAGCACGGCGUAUCAUCCCCAGACUUCAGGCCAAACAGAGAGGCUAAACCAAGUGUUAGAAGAUAUGCUAAGGGCCUGUGUGCUAUCGUCCAAGGGAUCGUGGGAAUCAUGGUUACCUUUGGCUGAGUUCUCAUACAAUAAUAGUUAUCAAGAGAGCAUCAAGAUGGCCCCGUUCGAAGCUUUGUAUGGGCGGAGAUGUCGAACCCCGUUAAACUGGGUGGAACCUGGUGAAAGGAGAUACUAUGGUAUCGACUUUGUGAAUGAUGCCGAGAAAAAGGUGCAGAUUAUACAACAACAUAUGCAAGCAGCGCAAUCACGACAGAAGAGUUAUGCUGACAAGAGGAGAAGGCCGCUUGAGUUCAAAGUAGGCGACUAUGUGUAUCUCAAGGUUACGACAAUGAAGAAAAUUCAACGUUUCCGAGUUCGAAGCAAGCUUGCACCCAGAUAUGUGGGACCAUACCAAGUGCUAGAAAGGAAAGGCCCAGUGGCCUACAAGAUUCAGUUACCUGAAGAGAUGACCUCGAUCUUUCCGGUCUUCCAUGUGUCGCAACUACGGAAAUGUUUGAAGGUGCCGGAGCAAAGAAUUGAACCUCGAGGAAUCAAGAUAAAAGCAGACCUGGAGUACAAAGAGCAGCCAGUGGGGAUUGUGGAUACCAAGGAGCGAGUAACCCGAAACAGAGUUGUUCGAACGUACAAGGUGGUGUGGAGUCAUCAUGACGAUAGGGAUGCCACUUGGGAAACAGAGGAUUACUUAAAAACAGUUUAUCCAAAAUUUCACAAGAAAUGGUUGGUAACCCUAAAAUCUCGGGACGAGAUUUCCCUAAGGGGGGAAGGGCUGUAACACCCUAGGUGUUAAGCAUGCACUUAGUCUCAUCAAAGUCAUGCAUAAGCACUCUCAUCAAUCAUAAGCAUCAUGAGCAUGUCACUCUUUUAAGAAUAUGGUUUUAUGUGCAUCAUUUCAUGUGCUUUAAUUAUGUUAAAAAUGUGAUGCUUGUUUCUAAAAUUGUGAAAUAUUCAAAUUAGGUUGCUUUAUGUGUAAGAAGAAUUUAGAACAUUUUUGUGCAAUUUUUUGGAGCUAUGGAAAUUGAGAAAAGGAAUUUAUACAAAAUAUCCAAAAUAACUUUAUUUAAAAACCUAGAACUAAGUUUUAAUUUGUAAUUCAAAUUCUAUUUAGAAUUUGGUCUUACCUAUUAAAGCAAAGUUGUAGAGCUUUUAGUUUGGCACCACUUUGCUUUUGGUGAAAAUGGUGAAAAUAAUUUGAACAUGGUCAAAAUGCUUUUGGAAGAGGAUUUAAGAAAAGAAAAUUUAAAAAAAAAUGGAAAAGGGAAAAGGGGGCGCUAGCAGGCCGCGGCCUCGCUUCUGGCCCACUGGCCGAAGCCGGCUCGGCCCGCCCGCGCUCUCCCCUCCCCCUUCCCCGCGCUCGCGCCCGCGUCCGCGCGCGGACGGCCUCGCCGCGACGCCGUGGCGCGCCGGCAGGACUCGGCCGCCGCGUGGCAGGCAUGCGGCAGCGAGGACGCGCCCCGGUCGGCCACCAAAGCGCCCCGGUCGCGCUCGCCUCCGCCCCCGCUCCCAUUUGUGCCCCUCAGCUCCCUCUCUCUCGCUCUCUCUCGCCCUCGCCCCGCACGCGCAGAGCGCCGCCGUCGCCAUUGGAGCCCGAGCUCCGCCUCGGCUGUUCCUCCCCCGUGCGUGCGCCAUUCUUCGAUUAGUUCUUCCCCGAGCUUCGCCCUCGCUCCGCCGUUGCGGAACGCUCAUCUGAGCGCUCGGUAAGGCACGGUGAGCCCCGCUCGCCCUCGCUUUCUUCUCCGGCGAGAGCUCCGCCGCCGCACGCGUGGUCCGCGCGUCUCCAUGCCUUCCGGUGCUGCGUAGUUGGCGCAUCGUGUUCGCCUUGGCACCGCGAUGCUCGCAAGCCCCUCCAGCCACGCUCUACCGAGCCGGCGUCCCGUACCGACGAUGAGCAGCGCCGCCGCUCCGCCAUGGCCAGUGGCGAGCCUGCUCCGGUCCGUUUUAGGCCGCGCAAAUGGGCGCGCUAGGUCCGCCGUGAGCCGUAGAGCGUGUAGAGCCGCUUGAUUCGCCGAAAGGGGUCGUCGACGCUGAGCUCCGGCUCGCCGGAGCUCCUCCCCCUCUGCGCUCUGACCAGCGGGCCCGGUUGGCAGGCGGGUCCGCUCGUCAGCAGCCGCGGGUGCACUGCACCGGGUGCACCUAGCAGGUCUCGGGGUGGAUUUGAUUUGUUUUCAGAAAAAUAAUUUCCAGGAAAUGAUUUAAAUGUUCAAAAAUCCAUAUCUUGAUGAAUAUAGUUCCAAAAAUUGUGAAAUAAAUUUUGGUGCAAUCCUUGUUUCCAGAUCUAUAGCCUAGUAUGAUUGCAUGUCAUGUUUGAGUAACUUUCUUGUAAGAAUAUAAUUAAUCCAUGUUUUUCCUAAACUUGGAAAAUGCAUAGUAAAUAAAAAUAGGGUUCAGAAAAAUGUAAAACUUGUUUUGCUGGCUCUGCAUGUGUGUUUAAUCACUGAGAAAAUAUUGUUAUAUAUUAUUUGGUGUAUAAAUGAAUUUAUGGUAAUUUAAAUGCUUGCAUGGAAGUGGUUUAUGAUUUUUAAUAAUUAAUUGGGUCAUGCAAUAAAUCUGGAAAAUUUUGUGGGUGUUUCUUAUGAUAUUAUGCAAAUUGUAAAAAUAUGAAAUCUGUUGUUUGACACUUGUAUCCCAGUAGAGUGAUUUUACUUGCCUUAUUAAUUAAUCUUGUGAUUUUUGUGGCUCAAAAUAAGUAUCCAAAAAUCAUGAAAAAUUUACAGUAGACUUUAUGCUUAGCUGGUAGUAUCCUGUAAUUUUUGUGAAAUUUAUUGAUGAACAGAAUUGCAUGUGAUUUUUAAUGGGCUUAGAAAUGAAUAAAGAAAACCAUGAAAGGUGUAUAUAUAUAGGUUGAAUGGAAUAAGUUGGGUUUGGUGUAUCUUUGAAGCAUCAUGGGGGUUGCUGGUUGCAUUUGAAAAAUAUCUGUAGAAGAGAAUGCAACAGAUGCUUAAUUUAGUUAUUGUUCCCGGAUGAUGUUGACUACCUUGUAAUAAGCAUGACCAAGUGCAUCACCUAUGCAUCAUAACAUGACUCCUUUGACACUCUCUCUUACAAGCAUCCACUCGGGCAUCUCACACUCCACUCAUGAGCAUAUAUGCAUCAUACAGGCUCGCAGGAGAACGAGGUGGGACCUGAGGAGCCAGAGGAGAUUCAGGAGCAGGAACCUCCGGAAGCACCCGAACCCGGAGAGGAACUGCAGGAGUGUCCGGAUCACCGACCCAGCACGUUUGAGAAAGGCAAGCCCCGGAGCAUUCUAAGUCUCCCUAUUCUUGCUAACUUAUAUAAAGUGCUAUACUUGUUCUACUGUAUUGCAUAUUAAGUGAUAGGAGUUGCCUGAUACCGUUGCUGCAUGAGUACUCCUUGUUAUUCCUACCCAUUCAACUACCUUGUCCUAUGUAGAUAGGCACGGAGUCUAUGCUUAGCUUGCUUAGUUCGGUAGAAGUCGGGUGAUUCCCUGUCACCUGCGAGACAUAGGUGGAUACCUGCUUGUUUAAGCAUUGGUUGCUCGGGGAAAAGAAUAACCAAGUGUGGAAUGAAUUUGGAGACCGGGCAGGGUCUUAUGGUGGGUUGACCCUAGUGCCCCUGCCUGUGUCGAUGAAGGACCGGUCGUUGACGGCCCUCUUGUCAUGUUGAACGCAUGCCCCACACUUAGCUGGAAGGAUAAGUCGUUCCGACCGCGAAGCCUGAGCACUAUCCGGGCCGGGAAUCGGCCCGAUGUACGCGCUGUAUUGGUGAUGGUUGAGGAGAACGACGAGGGCGCGGCGCGCAACCUUGGUAUACCUUGGAUACCUCGGUCGCCGGAACGGUCCUCGGGUACAGGCGGUGCCUGUCGAACCCGCGAAUUGGUCCUGGAUAGUGCAACAUGGUGACCUGUAGCUCACUUGAUCAGUGAGUGUGGUUUGUGUGGGGAAUAAACUCGCCAGCUGGUUAGAAAUCGAUUCGAAUCGCCAUCGCUCCUGGAUAGUGAGCACUUGACAUGAGCUUCGUCCUCGUAGUAAGGACUAUGGAACACUUGGGUUAUAAUGAUGAAUGGUUUUUAAGAAAUGCUAUGAUGAGGUACUAUCAUAGUCUCAUGCUUGCUUGUAAUAGAGCAGGUGCAAACCUAGAUGAUAGGUAAUGAUACUUUCAACUUGAGCCAAUUAAAAUGGAUAAAGACUUAUGUAGGUUAUGUUAGCGAAAUACUGUGGUUGUGCAAAUUGGUCGUCAGCUCCCCCACUAUAUAGCCUUCAUGAUCCUUGAUGAGUCUUUAUUUUAAGUUUAUGGCGGGUAAGUCUAGCUGAGUACCCUCUCGUACUCAGGGUUCUAUUCCCAUGUUGUUUUGCAGAUGGUCAAAUGUACUAUGGUUAUUGCAUCCUCUGUCUGUACCCAGCUAUGGGUGAUGACUAGACCAAGGGCGAUGGUCACUCUGUCUCUUCCUUUGCUUUUGUGGGAAUGACCAAACUAUGGCACUGUAUCAGACUUAUCGUGUGUGUAGUAAUUUCGAAUCAUGAAGCUUCCGCUACUUGAAGAACUUGGUUUGUAAUAACUUUAAGCACUCCGAUGUAUUUUAUGAAUGUUGUAAUCUGGAUGUACUUGUGGAUGGCGACCGCUAAACUUAUUACGAUCUUGGCUGUAUGCGAUGUGUGGUUUGAAAUCCUUCGAGAUUUCACGGACUACCGGGAUUAUAUGGGCUUAAGCGUGAUGGUUCGACUAUGCAAAUGGUCACUAUUAGGCUUAAUCUCUUAUAAUUUGGUUGGUUCUGUUACAAGACACGACACUAGGGAAAGAGGUCAUGCGUUAGCUGAAAUUAAAAUGUCUUUGUACACAAGUACAAAGAGCACUUGUUCGGGGUUGUUCCUCACUUCUCAUUUCAGAUUUUGUGGCUAGCAUGACUAAAUGCUCUCCCUCUCCUUUCUUUUUCUCACUCAAAUUUGGCUUGUGGCACUCAAUUUCUUUUGCUCUCCUUCCUCUCUACUCAUUGGAACAAUUUCAGAUUUCUUUUGUAAAUGUUCAGCCAUGAUUUGUUGGGUGCCACAGGCUUGAGAACAAACUUCUUCCCUUUUAGAUUGAUAGUGAACUGAUUUGUUCUCCCACAAUGUUGGCUAUAUCAAUCAUAUUGCCAUGGUCUUCCAAGCAGCAAGUGACACACCGACAUAGGUGCCACAUUACAUUCUACUGUGUCAACAUAUUCACUAAUCUUGAAUGGAACGUUUACUUUAUAUCCAAUCUUGAUAUCUCCCGAAUCAUUCAGCCACUGUACGUGAUAUGGAUGAGGGUGUCGUAGCAGCUUCAAGCCAAUUUUAUCACCCAUCUCACGACUAGCAAGAUUAUGGUAGCUCCUUCCAACAAUAAUCACCUUCACCACUUUAUCAUGCCCCUUUGCUCUAGUUUGAAAUAAAUUUUGUCACUGCCCAAUUUUAGCUUCAUUUGCCUGAACACUGAAGAUUUGAGUCACCUCAAGAGCAGCUCCUUGAUCAAACUCACAACAAGUAAGGUCCUCGUCUCCAUGGGCUUCCUCCUCAAUUCCCUCUUCACUAGCUGAUUCAUACUUUCCAUCAUCAUUAACAAUGAUCACCUGAUUAUUGGGGCACUCCUUACUUAUAUUCCUAAGGCCUCCACACCUGAAGCUCUGAAUUCCACUACUCCUGGAAGUAGAACGCACUGAAGUAGUGGAUGAUGCUGCUGGUUUUGAAAUUGGGACAACAGUGUUCUUUCCACUAAAAGUACCCUGAAAAUUAGAUUGAGAGCCUCCACUUGAGCUUUUCACCGUGGACGGUUCAGCAGCAAAUUACUGAUUGAUUUGCUUCGUCCAGAGAAAUUCCUCAUGGAUGGUUCAGCAGCAAAUUUUGGCAUGGUAAAUUUCAGUUUGCCAAAUCUUUGUUCAUGGUUGCCUCUUCUAUGAUGUCGGCAACCAAAAUUGAGUUGGGAGUGGUUGUCAUCAUCCUCAUCUUCAGUUUCAUCAUCAUUUCUUCCACUAUGUCUUCUUCCUUUAGCAUGUUGUAACAUCCCUGAUGUUACGGUUACUAAAACUUGAUCAUUACAGCAUGAGCAUUGCAUAGCAUAUUGAUUAAGCACCACCUGAUGCAUCAAAUUAAAAUAAGUUUAUUUUGGUUGCUUGUGCUUAGGGAACUAAAGUGUGCAUAUAUGGUGAAAUGAUGCUAGCGUGGUUGUGAAAUCCCUUGUGUUGGAAGAUUCCGAGAAAAAGGGGGGGGCUGAUUUUAAAACCCUAGUUUUGCCCCCUUUUGUGCAAUUUAAAAAACUAAGCAAAAUUUGAGGUUGAGUGAAAAAGCAAAGUUGUAGAUCAUGUCAAGAUGUACAACUUUGGUGUUUUGAGUUUUUGAAGUUUCAAUACAAAAUUCAAAGUAAUUUUGAAAAUACAGAUUUCCAGAUAUUGUCCCCUUUUCCAAUUCGAAUCCUAAUUCAAAAUCUAUUUGGAAUCUUGAAAACUGACCAACAUGGAAGUUGUAGAGCUCAACAAAAUGAACAACUUUCAUUUUGGGAAUUUUUCAAGUUAUUGAGAAAAAUCAAAAGUAAUUUUGAAAUUUCUAAUCUGCCCCAAUUCAAAUAGGAAUUUCCCCAAAUUGGGAUUUUCGAAUUCAAACUGUUUUGCCCAAAUUCAAACUCUUCCACUCAGAAUUAGCUUUCGGCACUUAAAGAUGUUUUGUAGCUUUUAAAGUUCUGAACAACUUUUGUUUUGGUGGAAAUUUGACUUCCGUUCAAAUUUUGGAUGAAUUUUGCAAAAAACCAAAUCAAGGUGGAUAUGGAUGGCAACAGUGUCCUGAUGGGGAUCACAGGCGCCCCUGCCACCGUCCGCAGCGGCGAGCGCCACCGCGUGCGCGCGUGCGAGCACGUAGCUGCCCGCCUACCUGCGUCACCGAGCUACGUGGACGCCUCGGACUCGCUUCCCUCUAACCUUGAGCACCAGCACGGACGGCGUCGCGCGGUUUCCCAGCCCAAAGCCAGAGAACACCGACGACCCUCUCGCAAAUACACCGCACUCGAUCCAUCUCCAGCCAAAUUGAGCCUUCCACCACCUUCGCCAUGCUCUUGCGAACCCAGAGCGCUCUGUAGAACCCCUCUAACCCGCCCAAUCACCGGAACUUCCUCUUCGCCCCCAACUCCGGCCGGAACCGCCGCCAUGGAGCUUUUCUCAAUGCCACAUUGUUCCAGUAGGUGCCACGCCUUGCUAGCGGUUGUUUCAAGUUCCUCUCAUUCCCCAGAAGCACAUGCGCUUGCUCUUUCUCUCUGGACGCGAACAGGUUCACUCGAACGACCUCGCCGAAGCUAGAGUGCCAGCCCGGCGACACUGCCACCGUCGCCAGAGCCCUCAGCCGCUUCUCCCACCGUGGUGAUGCGAGCACCAUGCUCCCUACUCCUUCCCGAACCUCCCCGUUGUUGACACUUGCUAACACCACUUGAAUACUAGGUUGUCAUCCCCAGCAUGGCACUAGAGUGUACUAUGGUAUUUAUACGCACACAGAUAAUCCGCAAGCGCACGGAUACCGUUGAAGCUUUUACCCGGUUAAAGGUUUUAUCGUAUCCACAGGGAAACGGGAGAACUGAUCUACGCUCUAACUUAACCAAGAUAAGUAAAUAAGUGUAAAUAGGAAAGAUGGUAGAAUCGAAUAAGAACAAUAUUAAAGGUAAGAUAACAGUGAGUGAUAAUAUGGGAAUAGAGAAUAGAGCAAUUCUAGUAUAUGGGCGAUGGUAGCAGAAUAGAGAGGGUAACUAUGGUUUCUCUACUUCAAAGGGGUAUGUCUAUGUCUGGGACGAACCUUGCUGUUAGCAAGUGUCAACAACGGGGAGGUUCGGGAAGUGAGUGAUGACAUGUUUACUGUUGAACCUUGCUCCGAUGCCAACUGUCACGGAACCGUCCAAAUUAUAAGAGCACAAGUACAAAAACAAUCGCCGAAGUGAUCAAUUUAUCAUACUUGAGCCCAUAUAAUUCUGGUAGUCCAUCAAAAUCAUGAGGGAUUUCAAACCAACCAACAUACAAGCCAAGAUCGUAGUGAUUCAACAUAACAAGUCACACGUUACAUGCAUUUCACGAGUAGUUCAAGUAUAUCGGAGUUCGAUAAGAUUAUUACAACUCAAGUUUACAAAUAGCGGAAGCAAAGUAAUUUGAAACCAAUAUCACUUUUAUUUCAAAUACAUGCCAGUACCAUGGUCCAUUCCAACAAAAGCAUCAUAGAUGAGGUAAGUAGGAAGGAUCAUGCCCAUGAUCUUACUCCUUCCCUAAAGCAGGAGUCAUCCAAGUCUUGCAGUAGCUAUGAUACAUCACAACCUGCAACAAGUGGGAAUAAACCCUGAGUACGAGAAUGUACUCAGCUAGACUUACCCGUCAUAAACCAGAAAUAAAUGACACCAAGGAGUAUGCAAGGCUGAUAUAUAAGUGGAGCUUGUUGGACAACAUUUUGCAUAAAAAGCUUAAGUAUAAAGAGUUAAACCUUUCUUAUUUAGCAUCCAUUUAAUUCUCAUUAACCUAUCAACUAGAUUAGCACCUGUACUAUAGCAAUCACUUGAUUAAUAUCAAUCAAUAAUAACCAUAUCAGGUUUGUCAAGGCCGUCAUCAUCAUCAUCAUCAUCAUAGAACCAGUAAGUUAUUUAGUGAAUGCUACGUCUGCCGCUGCUCUGUCAAGUUCUCACUAUCCGGGAGAGACGGCGAUUCGAAUCGAUUCCUAUCCAGCUGGAGGGGUAUUCCUAGCACUCACCCAAGCAUCCCCCGUCGGAGAGCCAACGGGUCACCUUUGGUACGACUCAGGAAUCGCGGUUCCGAUCAGCGCCGCACUCCCAGGGCUACCACUCUGCCAGGGAGGUCAGGAAUUUUAACUCACCUGCCUUUGGACUUACGCCAAUGGUCCCCCGCACACCGCACUUCCUCCGGUAGUGCGCACUUUAUACUUGCCGGUCUUCCGGCCUGAGUCAUACUACUAGGCUUCGCGGUCGGAACGACUUAUCCGGCCAACUCAGUGUUAGGCAUGCGUUCAACAUGACAAGAGGACGUACAAAGAUCGGUCCUUAAUCGACACAGACGGGGAUAGAUCCACACCCAAGACCUCCAUGCCUUGUUGCGUCACUAUCAUCAUUCCGCCCGGUCUCCUUUCAUAUUAUUAACACAUGGUUCUUUUCCACGAUAGCAAAUAUAGCCAACCGUGAUCUGGAAUCCACCUAUAUCCUGCAGGUGACAGGAAAUCACCUGGCUUCUACCGAGCUAAGCAUGGCUAAGCAUAGACGUGAUCCUGACUAAUUAGGAUUCAGGUUAUAUAUAUACUGGACAAGGAAGGGUAUAUAUAUGCAGCAAGGGUUACAUCCAACCCCUAUACUUAAUGCAACAAUACAUAUAUAACAUAUAUAUACUCAUUCACUUUCAAAAAGUAGGAGGCUUAUAAUGGUCCAGGGCUUGCCUGGAAUGUGACACCAAGUCAGAUUAGUUAGCUUGCUCCGUCUUGGUGACAUCUAAGAUCAUAACACUUGCUUAAUCAUUCCAUCUCCGGGAUGAUCCACCAUCACGUCCUUCACGUGGUUCAUCUAGCGUACCUAGAUGACAUGCAAGAUGCAAGUGCAUGAACACAUGUUUCAUAGGAUCACAUAACACUAAUUAACACCACCAAGACAUGAGUCACUUAAAACCACACACAAUGUAAGUUAAUCAAGCAUUCAUGCAUUUUUAGAAAUUCUGGACAUACAUGCAACAGUUGAGUAAAUAAAUCAUAACCAGAGUUCUACAGACCCAAAAUCCAUGCAACAAGACAUUAUGGAAAGCUUAUAAAAUUAUAUACAAUUCAUAUUUAAUCAUCUUAGCAUGAUUAGAAAGUUACCUAAGUCAAACAUACAUAUUUACAGAAUCUGGUCCAGGAAUUCCAGAGAACAAGCAUUUUGACAGAUAAACUUUAUACCCUUAUAACUCACAAACCAUUUAUCCAAAUGAUAUGAAACUAUAACACAAGCGAGAUGAAAGAGUUAUCUACAACUUUUGUAUAGACAAGUUUCACAGCAAACAUAAUUUAUACUAUGGAAUUAAUUGCACAAUCAGGACUGCGCAUGUUGCCCCAAACAGUAGGGUACAAUUAUAGGCAGGAAAACUGAUAGGAACUUCAAACAAGCAUAACUGGAGUUGUAGCCCUCCAACAAACAUGAUUUUUAACUUCACAGAAAGCUUAUAAAGUUACCUACAACUUUCUUAUUCUCAUAUAAAGAUGAUUUCAUAGUUAACAAGAUCAAUUAACCCCAUGAAGACAUCUCUGUUCAAAGCAUAGACAGGACAUACCAUGCCACAUUAAACAGAUAUAACAUCAUUUUCACAUGUCCACAAAUUAUGAUUAUGGACUCUCUAGAAAUCUUAAUAAAUUGUGAACAACUUUGUUAUAAACAUCAAGAGCACAUUCUAUCACUAAAAAUAUCACACAUAGCAAUAUACCAAGCAAACAACUAUAAAAGCAAUCUAUCAUUUUUAGGACAGCCCACAACAGCUUCUUGUUUAAAUCAUAACUGGAGUUACAUAACUCCAAAAGACAUGCAAGAAGACAUUCUGGAAAGCUUACGAAAUUAUCUACAUUUGAUAUUUAGACAUCAAAGCAUGAUUCUCAACUUAAGCUGGUCGAAAUAUUAGGAUUACUGAAUCAGGUCGUAACAGGACAGAGAGCAACCAUUUCUGAAAUUCAACUUUGAACAGACAUAACUCACAAACCACAAGGCCAAAUACUACCAAAUUUUAACAGAAGCUAGAUAAAUGAAUUAUCUACAACUUUUCUAUAAACAAGACUCCCAGAAAACAUCAUUUACGUAUUGUAAUCCAAAUAGUUCCAAAAACUGUUUAGAAACAACAAUUGCACGCAAUUAAUUAUUAACUUAUGUUUCAAACAUGCAUUUGAGCAAAACCAUUGUUACCAACAGUUUGCACAUAUCUAAAGAACACCAGAAAACAUAGUGGUCAUUACCAAAUAAAUUUAUUUAAUGCAUUUCUUAAUUUAUUUGGACAAUAAGGUGAAUUAAAGAACAUAUAACAAAAGUGCUCAAUAACUUCCACCAAAAUUACAGUAGCUUCUAAACACUAUCCAUAGCCCACUGUAUAAAUUUCACUGCAUUUGAAUAAAGAUAUCAACAUCUAUGAAAAAGACAAAUUGCUAUUGCAAUUAACCAUGUGAGAACAAGAUAAAUCUAAAACUCACAUUUUCUUCAAACACAUGACCAUAAUAUAUAUCAACAUGAUACAACAAUAUCACAGAAUGGUAGUGGAACAACAUUUUCUAUUUUUACAUUUUAAUUUAUAAUUAUAAACUAUUUAUCAAGCCCUAAGAAAGUUAAAUUAAUAACUCAUUUAUACAGCACUCAAAAAUCCUAACACUUUUACCAGACAUCAAUCAUGACAUGAAUACCAAGCCACAAAAGUUUAACAUCAAUUGGAGCUCUACAGCAGCAGUUAUACAAACAGACAAACUCAACUAGUAUUAAAAACCUAGCUGCAAAAAUCAUUUUCCACAGCUAAAACUUUAACCUAAAACAUGGCAUAUUAUAGAUCAACUGCAAAGAGAAUUUCAUAAGGAUUCUAAAAAGUCUACAUUUGCUAAUUUACGAUUUGUCUAUGAUUUUAUAUUGAUUUUCAAAGUUCCAGCAUUUCUCCAAAACAAAUAGGUCCUCGAAGCACUAUUCAUAUGAGUCAUGAGUUCUGCAGAAAACCCCCUGGGUUUUGUCGAAUUUGACCCGUGGUCCUUGGUCGCGAGGAAAACAGAGGACCUCGCCGGAGCUCCCUGUUCCGGCCGGCUGAGGCCUCGUCGGCGGCGAUGGAGGGGUGGGGAAGCACCAGGAGGUCACCGCACACCCGCUGGUCGCCUUGGAUGGCCGGGAGAGGGCCCGUGGCGGCUUGGCCACGUGCACACGUCGGCGACGGCGGCGGUGGCCGGUGAUCGGCUGCUCCGGCGGUCUUCCACCUCGUCCGAGGGGCGCUGGGUGUAGAGGAGGAAGAGGCGGAGGCGGUGGUGAUGCUGGCUGAGCGUGGGAGCGCUUGGAUGAGAAGGAACAGCGGCGGCCAUGGAGCUCCAGGAGCUCAGCCAUGGCCAUGGCCGACAUGCUCCCGUCCCUGCGGUAGAGAGCGAAGGAAGGGGCGAGGAAGUGGAUGGGGAUGUCCGCCAGCGACCCAGCAGUCCAAAACACGACGAGGAGACGGCAGGCGCGCGUGGCAUGGAGGUGGGACGUGCUGCCCUUGCAUGACGACCACGUCGGCAUUCUGUCGAAUACGUGGCGCGCGCCGGAGUACACAGAGUGGGACGCGAAUUUGGACCCUUUCUGGGCCGAAUUUGGACAUGGGCCGAAAACGAAGUUUGCCAAGCUCGGCCUGCUCUCCAACUUUGAUUAAGAGUACAGAGCCAUUAGAGUUAUAGAUUAGUAGAUAAUUUGAUGCCAACCUUUGAGUGUCAAUGAAUUGAUAGUGAUUAGCAAAACUCGAAAUUGAUGACCAAAACAAAAUCAAACUGGUGUCACCUUUUGGCAUGUUCUAGCCCACAAUAUGUAAUCCAACUUUUAUUUUGGUACCCAAGCAAGUUGUUCAUAAGAAUUAGGAGAACGCGGGAUGCCAACAUGACGAACUGAAAUUCCAGACUUAGAAAUCCGAAAUGCUGGAAUUUACAGCAGAUUCGAUCUUGUGACUAUUAUUUGACAGGCUUAGAAGAUGAUUCGGACUUGGUCACUUUAACAAAGUUUGUAGCAUACAAACUAUACUACAACUUUUAUUAAAGACCUUAUACUGUUUCUGCCUGGUUAGUAAGAUACAAGGCUCCCAACUAGGGUACCCGAACCUGAGCACCUUGAGGACUUAGCCAAAUUUUGUGAGAUCCAAAACAACACUGCAUUGAAUCUUGUGAGCUUAAUUUCACUAGGAUAGGUACCAAACUGGCUCUUGACCUUUAAAUAAAGUUUGUUCUACAGAAGCAAAACUACAACUUUUAUUUAAGGUCCAACCUCAUAACUGGUACUGAAGUCAAACUUUAACUUUGGUCAAAGUAUCAACUUGAUAAAGCUCAAACUAGAAUUUUAGAGCAAAUAAAGCAUUUUCUUGGCACAAGCUCAACAUGAACCCUUCAUGACUUUUGUUGUAGAGUUCAUCUAGAGUCAUUUGGUCAAGAUUGCAAGGUUAGGUUAGUAACCUAAGGUUCCGUUCACUUGAUAAGGUCAUUCCAACAAGCAUGUAACUUAUCCUUUCAUUUGACCUUUUGAAUCCAAACUUCAUAAAACUUUUUGAGUGAUCAACCUGGGUAGAGAUGGAGAUGAUACACAUGAAAGAAGCACCAUCAGCACCCACAAGCUUUACUAUGCAGGAUCAUCAAGCAUUCACUUGUCGCCACAUCAAAGUAUGUUUCAUACUAUCAUAUAUGGACAAAUGAUGCUUAUGCUCAUGAAAUGUAAGUGCCAAAACGCAAGACAAACACCUGGGGUGUUACAGCCCUCCCCCCUUAAAAAUAAUCUUGUCCCAAGAUUCGGUGCGAAAGACUUUCAAGGGAAGAGAAACAAUGUCAUGCAUUUCCGAACCUCAACGGUAGCAUUUGAACAUCAGAGAAGCUAAGUUGGACAAAAAGUUUUCUGAUACUUACUUUUCAUAGUAAACUUUGGUCUGAAGAUGAAGCAUUGUUACUUUGGGAGGAAUCCAAGAAAGCAUUGUCCUGUGCACUUUGUGCUCAAAGUAUGAAGGGUGGUUCAGAGCAUAAGGAGCUACCUAUAUCAUCAAUAUCUUUAGUGAAACUAAUACAAACCAUAAGAACCUUGCACCAAGUCACAAGCUUCUAAGGGUUUCUCAUUAUAUUGGUUCCAGGCUCAUUCACAACAUUUGAAAACUAGUCUUCUACCAAAAUGGUUGGAGUACAACUUUCCAAGCAUGCAGUUCUCUUUCUCUGAUGACAAAAUUGUACUUACCAACCUGGUUGAGGGAACGAUGAAUGUGAUAGCUGACUUUGUGGGUUCAACACAUUCCAUGAUCAUUUACUUCAAGGGGAUCCUCGUAUGCAAACAACAAAAGUUAUUUGGGUGGAAUCAGGUGCAACUUCUUAGGUAACACAUAGAAGGUAUCCAAGACAUGUAGGUAUUGGAUAACCACUACUGAAGAAGGAUGAUUGUGUGACCCAAAGGUCUCCAACAGUUGCAAGUAUUCAACCAAUUACCACUCAAUUCUGCAUGAAGCUUGAUAAAUUUCAGAUCCAUGCGUCUUCUCACCUCUGACCAAAAUUCAGCUCAAACAGGCAACAUUUGCAUAAGCAGAACAUGUACAUACUAAACUUGUUUGGUGCUGCAAUGGCAGUGUUGUGGACUGACAAGACAUCUCUCAACUCCAUGUUUAAUUCACUUUCUCAUAAAACAUAUCCCUUGUGGCUAUCACUCCAUCAUUACUUUCCUUAAGAUUAGCCUUGCUACUAGCAACCAAUCAAUUGCCUCUCAGCCCAAUAUUUUCCAAAGCUUCACUCUUAACCACAACAAUUACGGCUGAUGCUCAACAAUUGGUAACCUCCAAAGCUAGGAGAUAAGGAUUCAUGCCUCUUGGUUGACUUUAGCUGUCACCAUGAUGCACAUAAAGAUAAAGACUUAGGAAAACUUGGUCAUAAGCACAAUGGUGAUGAUCGAUGAUUGUUUAACAGAUAACUUGUCCAACAUUAAGUGUUGGGUGUCCUUUUGGUUCGAUGAGGAUGACUCAUGGUGUUCACUUAAUGCUCAUCGUCAUUGUAGGGAUAGUGAAAUACUGCCAGUUGUCUACCAUCUCUUACAGUCAGUUAGUUUUUAUGUCAGUGACUUGUUCUUCAAAGGUUAACCUCUAGUUGACUUCAGAAGAAUGGCCUAUGAGGUCUGGUUGGAUAUAGGGAAAUUUCGAUAUGAUAUGGUGAGAUUUUCAAGGGAAAAGUCACAAGAAGACAUUUCAUUGGUAUAGUUCCAUAAUGGAUCACGACUAGAAACCUCGAUACCAGCGCGUGCCGAGCAGCACAUCCUUGUGUCGGCCGCCCACAAGAGGCUCUCGGUUUCGUCGCGGCACCGUUAGCUAUUGCUCAUGACACCAUUAUUGAUCAUGUACUCAAUGAAAAUUUUCAUGUGGCACAAAAGUUGGUUGUAUGAACAAGCAUUGUGCUUAGGAGGGAUAGCAAAGCAAAGGUAGUCACAAGGUUGGGAGUCAACAUGGAAGUGACCUGAAGAUCCAAAACACAACACAGGAGAACAUAUCUUACUUGUCGAAGACAACUGAUCAUGGAUCUUGCUUUAAUUUCCACAAAAUCAUUGUGUUAACCAAGAUAGUUACCAGAUAAAUGAUUAACAUGAGAUCAUGACUGAUAAUAUUUAAGAUUAGGGAGAAUUGGAGGUUCAAUAAACGAGAUUCAAGAGACCAAGCUGAUACUUAGAUUAGGGCUUCAUCAACACAGCAGCAACAUGAUCUGUCAUGAAAAGAUUAUGAGGCUCAUGCAACAACAGAUAAGCAUUGCACUAGAUCCACUAUAGGACAGGGAACCAAGUGGUCUGAAAGGAUUCUUGGGGUAAGGUUUUCGCACAUAGAAGGAAGACACCCAAGACAUAAGCAAGCAUGUGAGAACAUAGAUGAAAUUAUCUCCAGCAACCAUUACUAAAAGCAAAGGUUGUAGAUAGUAAACAGAACAUGAUGGGAAUGUGUUGUUAUCCUUUAUUGAGUAGGUGCAUACUCUUCUUAAGUCGAGAAGAUAAAUCUCACUUAUGUCCAAAAAGGCCAGCCAUCUCAAACAUAUGCAUCAUGUUGACAGAUGGCACAGAUUGACCAAAACAUAAGCAAGCCAUUGAGAUAGAUAAAAGGGUAACCUAGUUAAAUGGGUAGCAAGCACAAGAGCUGAAGAAUGUUCUUUAGAAAGAUACUCACUAAGAUGAUUGCAGUUAGGAUACAACAUGAAUAUGGUGUACCCCACUAACUGUGAGCAUACCUCCUUCUACAUGCACGUGUGCAUGUGGUUCAAGGAUUUAGGUAAUUAUGACAUUGAUGCAUAACCAAUCCAGUAAGUUGCAUGAUUAAGAAUGAUUGGCAUCAUGAUAUGAGAUUCAUGAUUUGACAAAUAACCAUUAUGCAACCCAACAUCUGGUUCUUAGGACAAGGAUCAUGAUACGAGAUUGUACCACAAAGUUGGUAGAUAUGAUCAUGUCUUUAGGAACAGGAUGAUUUUUUUUAGUAGCAAAGUGUCCAAAAGAAUUUGGGCAAAGCUCAAACCAGGACAUAUCAUGGGCAAAAGUUGAUAUUCAAGAAAACCCAAUGAGGUUUGGUUAGGUACAGAUGCACAAGCUCAUGUGUUCUAAGCAAGAAGGUGUACUUGAGGCAACUUAUGAGAUAAGCACAAUGAUAAGGCUUGAUGACAACUCUUGGUCUCACCGAGGACAAGAGGUUAGACAACUUGUGCUGCAACCACACCUAGAAAGCAAGGCAACCACACAUAAAAAGAACUACUGUGUAGGUAACAAAAAGGAAGAACCUAACACCAAGCAUAGCUACUCAAGCAACAUACAACAAGGCAUUUUAUCUAACUUUACACAAGCAAAGUGACAUCAUAUUAAUUCACAAGUUACUUAUUGUUAGAACAAGGGUGACAAGAGCAAAGUUAUGCAUAGGGCAAUCAAUCAUGAUGAUGCAUGCUUCGUCCUAUUCGUCCUCACAAAAUUACCAGCCUAAGGUGGUAAUCACGUUCUAUAUCGGUGGCAUAAUACGCACACUCUCGACAUAUAGCUAGUCGUUAGCUACAAACAAUCUACGCAUUCGUGGUUAGCGUACCUGCAGAAAAUUUCAUUUCAGCCCAACCGAACAAUGAUAUAAGUGCAUGAAAUGAAAUACUAGACUAUAGGUUGAAAGCUAGAUGCUUCCAUAUAUAUAUAUAUAUCCCAAUAUAUAUAUUUCAGCAUCAAACUACCCGAAAUGAGAUACGCCUAUACAUACAUAGCGACAUGUAUAUAUGGCCAUACCACUAACCCACAAUUAAGUACCUUCAUAUAUACAUGCGUGUAACAUGUAAAUAUUCCAGUAACCAAAGCUAGCUCUCCCCUAGAUCGACGGUUGGACGAUCAUGCUCUCACAACUCACACUUACCUGAGCGUAGGUGCGACAUUGCAAAAUUUGAAUCUAUCAACAUAUAUGGCUAAUUCAUAUAUGAGGGCUACCUCUACCAUUUGACCACAGGGUAGCAUAGUGCGGUCAUCAUACAUACAUACCUUGGCCUGGGCGUCGAUGUAAAUUGAUCCAUACAUUACCACUCAAGUGAAUGGCAUCCAUACAAUAGCACGCCGUAUGGACGACGAAAUAAAAAUUGCAGUAUGUAAAUCCCCCCAUAGUUAGUACUUAACUUAGCCACCUAAAGGUCCUUAGUUGGGCAUAGAGGAAUGACCACUGGCAUACUUAGAUUAAAAGUUUAGAUUUGAACACACCUAUAUAUAGCUAUAUGUUACCAAAACUGAUUUUUUUAUACAGAAAAGUUUUGUUUCAAAUACACAUGUGACAUGUUUACUGCUGAACCUUGCUCCGAUGCCAGCUGUCACGGAAACGUCCAAAUUAUAAGAGCACAAGUACAAAAACAAUCGCCGAAGUGAUCAAUUUAUCAUACUUGAGCCCAUAUAAUUCCGGUAGUCCAUCAAAAUCACGAGGGAUUUCAAACCAACCAACAUACAAGCCAAGAUCGUAGUGAUUCAACAUAACAAGUCACACGUUACAUGCAUUUCACGAGUAGUUCAAGUAUAUCGGAGUUCGAUAAGAUUAUUACAACUCAAGUUUACAAAUAGCGGAAGCAAAGUAAUUUGAAACCAAUAUCACUUUUAUUUCAAAUACAUGCCAGUACCAUGGUCCAUUCCAACAAAAGCAUCAUAGAUGAGGUAAGUAGGAAGGAUCAUGCCCAUGAUCUUACUCCUUCCCUAAAGCAGGAGUCAUCCAAAUCUUGCAGUAGCUAUGAUACAUCACAACCUGCAACAAGUGGGAAUAAACCCUGAGUACGAGAAUGUACUCAGCUAGACUUACCUGUCAUAAACCAGAAAUAAAAGACACCAAGGAGUAUGCAAGGCUGAUAUAUAAGUGGAGCUUGUUGGACAACAUUUUGCAUAAAAAGCUUAAGUAUAAAGAGUUAAACCUUUCUUAUUUAGCAUCCAUUUAAUUCUCAUUAACCUAUCAACUAGAUUAGCACCUGUACUAUAGCAAUCACUUGAUUAAUAUCAAUCAAUAAUAACCAUAUCAGGUUUGUCAAGGCCGUCAUCAUCAUCAUCAUCAUAGAACCAGUAAGUUAUUUAGUGAAUGCUACGUUUGCCGCUGCUCUAUCAAGUUCUCACUAUCCGGGAGAGACGACGAUUCGAAUCGAUUCCUAUCCAGCUAGAGGGGUAUUCCUAGCACUCACCCAAGCAUCCCCGUCGGAGAGCCAACGGGUCACCUUUGGUACGACUUAGGAAUCGCGGUUCCGAUCAGCGCCGCACUCCUAGGGCUACCACUCUGCCAGGGAGGUAAGGAAUUUUAACUCACCUGCCUUUGGACUUACGCCAAUGGUCCCCGCACACCGCACUUCCUCCGGUAGUGCGCACUUUAUACUUGCCGGUCUUCCGGCUUGAGUCAUACUACUAGGCUUCACGGUCGGAACGACUUAUCCGGCCAACUAAGUGUUAGGCAUACGUUCAACUUGACAAGAGGACGUACAACGAUCGGUCCUUAAUCGACACAGACGGGGAUAGAUCCACACCCAAGACCUCCAUGCCUUGUUGCGUCACUAUCAUCAUCCCGCCCGGUCUCCUUUCAUAUUAUUAACACAUGGUUCUUUUCCACGAUAGCAAAUAUAGCCAACCGUGAUCUGGAAUCCACCUAUAUCCUGCAGGUGACAGGAAAUCACCUGGCUUCUACCGAGCUAAGCAUGGCUAAGCAUAGACGUGAUCCUGACUAAUUAGGAUUCAGGUUAUAUAUAUACUGGACAAGGAAGGGUAUAUAUAUGCAGCAAGGGUUUCAUCCAACUCCUAUACUUAAUGCAACAAUACAUAUAUAACAUAUAUAUACUCAUUCACUUUCAAAAAGUAGGAGGCUUAUAAUGCUCCGGGGCUUGCCUGGAAUGUGACACCGAGUCAGAUUAGUUAGCUUGCUCCGUCUUGGUGACAUCUAAGAUCAUAACACUUGCUUAAUCAUUCCAUCUCCGGGAUGAUCCACCAUCACGUCCUUCACGUGGUUCAUCUAGCGUACCUAGAUGACAUGCAAGAUGCAAGUGCGUGAACACAUGUUUCAUAGGAUCACAUAACACUAAUUAACACCACCAAGACAUGAGUCACUUAAAACCACACACAAUGUAAGUUAAUCAAGCAUUCAUGCAUUUUUAGCAAUUCUGGACAUACAUGCAACAGUUGAGUAAAUAAAUCAUAACCAGAGUUCUACAGACCCAAAAUCCAUGCAACAAGACAUUAUGGAAAGCUUAUAAAAUUAUAUACAAUUCAUAUUUAAUCAUCUUAGCAUGAUUAGAAAGUUACCUAAGUCAAACAUACAUAUUUACAGAAUCUGGUCCAGGAAUUCCAGAGAACAAGCAUUUUGACAGAUAAACUUAAUACCCUUAUAACUCACAAACCAUUUGUCCAAAUGAUAUGAAACUAUAACACAAGCGAGAUGAAAGAGUUAUCUACAACUUUUGUAUAGACAAGUUUCACAGCAAACAUAAUUUAUACUAUGGAAUUAAUUGCACAAUCAGGACUGCACAUGUUGCCCCAAACAGUAGGGUACAAUUAUAGGCAGGAAAACUGAUAGGAACUUCAAACAAGCAUAACUGGAGUUGUAGCCCUCCAACAAACAUGAUUUUUAACUUCACAGAAAGCUUAUAAAGUUACCUACAACUUUCUUAUUCUCAUAUAAAGAUGAUUUCAUAGUUAACAAGAUCAAUUAACCCCAUGAAGACAUCUCUGUUCAAAGCAUAGACAGGACAUACCAUGCCACAUUAAACAGAUAUAACAUCAUUUUCACAUGUCCACAAAUUAUGAUUAUGGACUCUCUAGAAAUCUUAAUAAAUUGUGAACAACUUUGUUAUAAACAUCAAGAGCACAUUCUAUCACUAAAAAUAUCACACAUAGCAAUAUACCAAGCAAACAACUAUAAAAGCAAUCUAUCAUUUUUAGGACAGCCCACAACAGCUUCUUGUUUAAAUCAUAACUGGAGUUACAUAACUCCAAAAGACAUGCAAGAAGACAUUCUGGAAAGCUUAAGAAAUUAUCUACAUUUGAUAUUUAGACAUCAAAGCAUGAUUCUCAACUUAAGCUGGUCGAAAUAUUAGGAUUACUGAAUCAGGUCCUAACAGGACAGAGAGCAACCAUUUCUGAAAUUCAACUUUGAACAGACAUAACUCACAAACCACAAGGCCAAAUACUACCAAAGUUUAACAGAAGCUAGAUAAAUGAAUUAUCUACAACUUUUCUAUAAACAAGACUCCCAGAAAACAUCAUUUACGUAUUGUAAUCCAAAUAGUUCCAAAAACUGUUUAGAAACAACAAUUGCAAGCAAUUAAUUAUUAACUCAUGUUUCAAACAUGCAUUUGAGCAAAACUAUUGUUACCAACAGUUUGCACAUAUCUAAAGAACACCAGAAAACAUAGUGGUCAUUACCAAAUAAAUUUAUUUAAUGCAUUUCUUAAUUUAUUUGGAUAAUAAGGUGAAUUAAAGAACAUAUAACAAAAUUGCUCAAUAACUUCCACCAAAAUUACAGUAGCUUCUAAACACUAUCCAUAGCCCACUGUAUAAAUUUCACUGCAUUUGAAUAAAGAUAUCAACAUCUAUGAAAAAGACAAAUUGCUAUUGCAAUUAACCAUGUGAGAACAAGAUAAAUCUAAAACUCAUAUUUUCUUCAAACACAUGACCAUAAUAUAUAUCAACAUGAUACAACAAUAUCACAGAAUGGUAGUGGAACAACAUUUUAUAUUUUUACAUUUUAAUUUAUAAUUAUAAACUAUUUAUCAAGCCCUAAGAAAGUUAAAUUAAUAACUCAUUUAUACUGCACUCAAAAAUCCUAAAACAUUUACCAGACAUCAAUCAUCACAUGAAUACCAAGCCACAAAAGUUUCACUUCAAUUGGAGCUAAACAGCAGCAGUUAUACAAAUAUACAAACUCAACUAGUAUUAAAAACCUAGCUGCAAAAAUCAUUUUCCACAGCUAAAACUUUAACCUAAAACAUGGCAUAUUAUAGAUCAACUGCAAAGAGAAUUUCAUAUGGAUUCCAAAAAGUCUACAUUUGCUAAUUUACGAUUUUUCUAUGAUUUGAUAUUGAUUUUCAAAGUUCUAGCAUUUCUCCAAAACAAAUAGGUCCUCGAAGCACUAUUCAUCUGAGUCAUGACUUCGGCAGAAAACCCCCUGGAUUUUGUCGAAUUUGCCACCGUGGUCCUUGGUCGCGAGGAAAAUAGAGGACCUCGCCGGAGCUCCCUGUUCCGGCCGGCUGAGGCCUCGUCGGCGGCGAUGGAGGGGUGGGGAAGCACCAGGAGGUCACGGCACACCCGCUGGUCGCCUUGGAUGGCCGGGAGAGGGCCCGUGGCGGCUUGGCCACGUGCACACGUAGGCGACGGCGGCGGUGGCCGGUGAUUGGCUGCUCCGGCGGUCUUCCACCUCGGCCGAGGGGCGCUGGUUGUAGAGGAGGAAGAGGCGGAGGCGGUGGUGAUGCUGGCUGAGCGUGGGAGCGCUUGGAUGAGAAGGAACAGCGGCGGCCAUGGAGCUCCAGGAGCUCAGUCAUGGCCAUGGCCGACAUGCUCCCGUCCCUGCGGUGGAGAGCGAAGGAAGGGGCGAGGAAGUGGAUGGGGAUGUCCGCCAGCGACCCAGCAGUCCAAAACACGACGAGGAGACGGCAGGGGCGCGUGGCAUGGAGGUGGGACGUGCUGCCCUUGCAUGACGACCGCAUCGGCAUUCUGUCGAAUACGUGGCGCGCGCCGGAGUACACAGAGUGGGACGCGAAUUUGGACCCUUUCUGGGCCGAAUUUGGACAUGGGCCGAAAACGAAGUUUGCCAAGCUCGGCCUGCUCUCCAACUUUGAUUAAGAGUGCAAAGCCAUUAGAGUUAUAGAUUAGUAGAUAAUUUGAUGCCAACCUUUGAGUGUCAAUGAAUUGAUAGUGAUUAGCAAAACUCGAAAUUGAUGACCAAAACAAAAUCAAACUAGUGUCACCUUUUGGCAUGUUCUAGCCCACAAUAUGUACUCCAACUUUUAUUUUGGUACCCAAGCAAGUUGUUCAUAAGAAUUAGGAGAACGCGGGAUGCCAACAUGACGAACUGAAAUUCCAGACUUAGAAAUCCGAAAUGCUGGAAUUUACAGCAGAUUCGAUCUUGUGACUAUUAUUUGACAGGCUUAGAUGAUGAUUCGGACUUCGGCACUUUAACAAAGUUUACAUCAUACAAACUAUACUACAACUUUUAUUAAAGGACCUUAUACUGUUUCUGCUUGGUUAGUAAGAUACAAGGCUCCCAACUAGAGUACCCGAACCUGAGCACCUUGAGGACUUAGCCAAAUUUUCUGAGAUCCAAAACAACACUGCAUUGAAUCUUGUGAGCUUAAUUUCACUAGGAUAGGUACCAAACUGGCUCUUGACCUUUAAAUAAAGUUUGUUCUACAGAAGCAAAACUACAACUUUUAUUUAAGGUCCAACGUCAUAACUGGUACCGAAGUCAAACUUUAACUUUGGUCAAAGUAUCAACUUGAUAAAGCUCAAACUAGGAUUUUAGAGCAAAUAAAGCAUUUUCUUGGUACAAGCUCAACAUGAACCCUUCAUGACUUUUGUUGUAGAGUUCAUCUAAAGUCAUUUGGUCAAGAUUGCAAGGUUAGGUUAGUAACCUAAGGUUCCGUUCACUUGAUAAGGUCAUUCCAACAAGCAUGUAACUUAUCCUUUCAUUUGACCUUUUGAAUCCAAACUUCAUAAAACUUUUUGAGUGAUCAACCUAGGUAGAGAUGGAGAUGAUACACAUGAAAGAAGCACCAUCAGCACCCACAAGCUUUACUAUGCAGGAUCAUCAAGCAUUCACUUGUCGCCACAUCAAAGUAUGUUUCAUACUAUCAUAUAUGGACAAAUGAUGCUUAUGCUCAUGAAAUGUAAGUGCCAAAACGCAAGACAAACACCUGGGCUGUUACACCUACCACACGAUCCAGCUAGACAGGGGAUAUCCACAAGUAAUCUAGAUCUAAGCACCUCGCUUACACCUAUACUACAACUCUCACCUAUAGCGUCCUAUAGAUUAGAAUACUCAAAAGAGUUGUGAACCAGAACAUACAUAAUUAGUAAUUGCAUAAUGAAUUAGAAGUAGAUUACCAGAGUCAUCCCAUGAGCAAGCUUGAUUAGAGCUUGAUCAUGACGAAGUACAACCGGAGGAAGAACCGACAGGCCGGCCUCUCCUCUAAUCCUCCUUCGCUCUCUAUCUCGCUACUAUCUAGAUCUACUCUAGUUUAGAGAAGAGAGAAGAGCUCUCAUCUCUAAAUCCUAGCUUUUGCUCUGUCUAUGAAUAAUGAAUAAUGAUCAAGGGGUGCCUCCUCCAGGGUCCAGGGGGUCUGGUUAUAUAGUCCCCUCAAGUGAACCUGGGCCGUCGGAUUAAACCGACAUUGAUUGAACGGUUAUUCUUGAUCCUUUAGGUCGGUGUAGAUCUCCCGAGAGAAAGAGUCCUGAUUGGGCUCCAAGUCAGGGUGGGCGCCCAGGGCAGGAGGGCGGGCGCCCUGCCUCUGGCCCCGUUCGGCCUCCGCUUCCUUCCCGUGGCUUCUGGAGUCUUCUAGAUGUAAGAUAAUUGCGCGGCACGUUAAUAUCUCUAUGUAAUCCCGACGUGUGGGCCUUUCUUCCGUAUUUCCUGAUAACCCCCUGCAGAAAUAGACAAACACCAAAACUCAUGGAAUUCUGUCAGAUAAAACCCCAAGUCUAGAUGUUAAUUUCAUUUGGAUCCUUUUCUUUGUUUAUUUGAUAAUUAAAUUUGAUACUUAAGGACCGUCAACAAACUCCCCCAAGCUUUCCUCUUGCUCGUCCCUGAGCAAGGAUAGACUCAGCAAUGGAUCAGAAGUUGUUGCAAUAUCUUCAAAAUUUGACGGUACACAUGCUUUUAAAGAAGAUCUCAUCUCUGAGUUAGAGUAAACUGUCAAGAACUAGAACUUACUUACUUUAUCUUUCACCAUGGGACUUGUAACCGUCACUUCUGUCUUGAGUAGUUAAAAGAUAGAACAGUCUAGCCAAGUGCCAUGUCUCUUAUUCUUGAUCAGCUAUAGCUCUGGAGUUUUUGCAGAUUUUCAAAUAAAACUCAGAGAUUCCUUGUAUGACUCUCUAAAUCUCUCUUUUGUGGUAUUUCUGGAUCCUUACCAAGGCAGUGAUGGUAUAUGCCUUCUCUCAAGAUAUGUGGUAUUUGUGGUAUAAGGCAUAGUGACAUUGCCUUCUCUCUCACCCUACUCUAAUAAGGCUUUAAUAUCUGGGGCUCAUAGGUGGAAGACAGCUAAUACAUACUUACAAGACAUUUAUUGCAUAGUCAAACCAUGGAUCUAGAGAAACAAGUCAAUAAGCCAAAUCAAGAUGUUCUUGUGUGGCGAAUGAAUGGUGUAUGGUGAUGAUGGUGAUAACAAUGGUGAAAGUCUAAUUCUACUUCUGCUCUUUUGUGGGUAUACAUACCUUCCUUGCUUUUUGAAACUUUAUAAGGAGAAUGAGAUGCUCUUCUUUUUAUUUUCUCUCUGGUGGGUAUCUUGUACCCCUAAUUCUACUGUCAGACACUUGUCCAUUUUUACCUCUCGUCUCACUUUUUCUUUUCUUUCGAGGUUCCGGGCAAUUGCCCCUUUUUAUUUCCUCCUUUAUUAUUUUUUUUCUUUUUUUUCUUUUCAGAGCACUCAUCUCUUGAGAUAAUAUAGCAAGUGGUAGUAGCAAGAUAACUUGAGCAUUUAUUUCACAAGGGAAAACAGAAAUAUUUUUGGCUAUUCUCUCUCGGAUUAGGAGUUGAAUAUUUUUGGGUGGUUCUGGAGAUGGAAAUGAGUGGAUAUAUGUGGAUGGUACUUCCGGAGUAGAAGUAGCCUAUAUGAGUGAAUGUGCAAGUGAAACCUUGAUUUAACCACAUGACAAGCUCCUAAAGGUCUACACAGCUUGACCACACUCAAUGCUCAUAAGCAAUAAAUAGUAAAUGUGUGGCUCAAAGUCUAGCAAGCAUGUAUAUAUGGCUGUGGUAGGAAUUUAAACUCUCAUCAUACAGGAACUCAUCAUGCAAUAUUUUAAUGAUUUUUCAAAGAUAAAAUUCUCUAGAAUUUUAGCAUCUCUAGGAACAGAUAAACAGCAGCUCAACCUUCCCAUAUCAUAUCCGUUAACAACUUAGAUUUCAGAUCAAGUUUUCAUCCCACAAGUUUAGAUCUAGAGCAAGCUUUUAAUUAUAACAGUUAUGUCUAAACUUGAGAGAGAACUUCAAAUUUGCAAAUUAGGCAGAGCAACUAUUCAUCAUAUCCAUGCUAGAGUUUUAUUAUUAAGAUUCAGAUUAGCAUAGCCACUUUAUUUAUUUAUUAAACACACUAAGCAAAAGAUAUAUAUAUAAGCACAAAAUCUUUAUUUAGUUUUUCAUAGUUUAUGUAUUUUAAUAUUCUAAUAUAAUAUAAGUAUAAAGAUAGGUAGAAAUACUUAGCGAGAUAAAUGGGGGUGCUCACCCCCAAGCUGAAUUUUGACGUAAUUUCUCUUGAUGUAGCUAGCAGGUGGCAGAGGUGUAUUUGAAAGUCAGCAGCAUUCUGACAGAGAUUAGAAUGUCCUCCGUCUUCUUGAUUUUAAAUUAUGUGGAGCUCAAAUAGACAACAAAGCUUGUGGAACUAAUUAAGUGUUAGCAUAAAUAUCUAGCCUUCAUCAUGUUGAGCUUCCUCAAUAAAUAUUACUCCCUGUUUUUAUAUUUUUAUUUUAUAAAGCAGAAAAGAAAUAUUUAUUUUAUUUUUAUGCCACCACAGUGAAGGUACUUAUGGGUUUUAUGCCACUCGUAUACUUACAUGGGGCUUAAUAUUUUUAAACAUUUUUAAUUUCUUUUUAAGAUAGCAUGAUUAACUAACAAGCUAUUUAAGGAAAGUAAGUAAUUAAAGGGAAAAGGGAAUGCAAAAAGGAUAAAUAUGGAUAACUACCGAUUUUACCUUUCGGCGAGGGUUCAAUGUUUUAAGUCUUCUUAACAAGACUUCUCACCGUGUUCAUUCUUCAAGUGCGUCAUUUGAUUCAGGUGCGGACCUUGACGUCUGCACCUCUUCGUUUGCCCAGCAGUUCGAAGUGCGGUGUUAGCAGUAUCCUGUUGAGUGUGUUUGUGCUCGUAGAUCCAGGUCCUUCACUUGGUAGAGUCUGAGAGUUAUAAAACUCCUCCAUGUUUUGCUCAAAGUGUACUGGCUCAUAGAGACAAGGCAGAGAUCAAGUGCAUGGGUCCUGUUCGUGGAAAACACCAACAGAACCUAAAGUGUAUUUGUUCUUCUCUAACCCUAAGCAUAGUGAGCAAGACAAAGUUGAUGGAUGAAAAGUUCAUGAGUGUAGCACUUAUAACAUUUGUCAGAUCAGAUCGCUCAACCUUAUGGAAAGAUAAUCUAUCUAUGUAUAUGUAUUUUUCUUUAUAUCUCUCAAUGAUUGAAUGUGUAACAUUUUAGCUCAUAUGAUUAGGAGUGUGGGAUCAUGGAGGUAGUACUAAGAACAAGGAUUAAAGGACUAAACAUGUUGAAUCAGUUGGGUUGGUUAAUCUAGAGUUGUAAAUCAUACAUGUUUGUCUCUUUUAUUUAUAUGAAUGCCAGAACCAAGGAGAAGCUUAUAAAAGUGAUAGUCAAGUAACUUAAGAUGUUACCUUGCUUGAAGAGUGAUGGUACAGUAUCACCAUGUGGAAGCUUUCCUUUCUUAGCGGUUGUGCAUCGUGUUUGUGGCACCCUCCAUGGAUCAUCCCUCUAUGAUGAAUGAGCUAUGUCCUUCUUGUGCAAAUUGUUAAACUUCAUGUGUCACUCUCUUCGUCUCUGAUGUGAGUUUGUCUCAGGACUUCCCAAAUCGAUAUUGAAAGUUUUUCUGCAGGGGUUAGUCCGACAAAAAUAUACCAAUGUCUACACAAGCAGUUUUUAGUUCAAUAACCAAACU
rnacentral:lncRNA from 1 species